rnacentral:lncRNA from 1 species
GCCUGUAAACUGCUUGUAAAAUUGCGCAGCCGUCAACGAAGAACAUCCAAGCCAGUUUCUCGUUAUCGUUGCUAUACUUCUCUAAUCCCUUUGGAUCAUAGCAUUUCUUUAAGUCAUCAAUCUCUUUCUUCAUGUUGUUGUACAACGUAUCCUUAUCGACGCCAAUUUUUUUGACGAAAAGUGCUGCUAAUUUGAGCUUGAGCUUCUCGGAUUUCCGGAGGGUGGGAUCAUCGUGGUGGAGUGGGCCGAUUGAGAUCACUUUCGGCUUGAAAUACUUCCUGAAAUCUUGGUGACGACCAAGGGUUGAUGGGACUCUUUGUAUCAAUGGUUUGGCACCGAGGUUGAUUUCGUCGCCGUCGAAAGCUUCGUCUAAUGACCGGAGAUUCGCUACUUCUCCAUCUCUAAGAGGGACGUCCAUAUCAAUGCUCACGGAAUCGUUGUUGUCGGUGAUUGCUUGAUCAGUGGAAACUGCUCCGACGGCGCCGCCUCCUUCCUCCGUGGAGAACAUUUUCAGGCUGAGCGGUUGGAAGUAAUAAAGAAGGUGAUUUUGUAAACUGCUUUUGGGUGAGUGAGUGAUGUUGGAGAAAAGGUGGCAAAGUGGAUACGAUGAUGGGAAAUAUUUUAUAGCUUACACGAUACACAUAUAUAUAUGGGAAAUACUUACACCGUGUUUGGUUUAGUGUAAUAGCUAAUCCAUUACGCCCCGAUUACGUGCCUAUUACAUUACUGAUCUAUUCCGGCGUUUGGUUCGCUGUAAUAGGUAUUACGCGCCUAUUACAAUACCGACCUAAGCCCCAAAUUCUCUGCUUUUCUAUUCCCUUCCCAAAUCCCAGAUUACCUAUUACGUCCGGCUUCCCUUCCCAAGUCUCUGUUUUACCCUCCCUCCCUACCCGAAAUCGACCUCCACCCUCUCCUUUUUCUGUCCUCAUCAUUUCUCCUCCCAUUUCACACUGCUUCAUUUUUUUCUCUCGGAGCACGUUUGGUUUUUGAAUAUUGAGGUAUGAAUCAACGUUUGGUUAAAAUGUUUAUGAUUUACUUGUUUAAAGUUUUCUAGAUCUUUUUCUAUAUCUAUAGUUUCUGCUAGUUCUAUUUCUUUGUUUUUCUUUUUGGUGCUAAAUACUCGCUCGAAUUAUUUUUUGAUUUGGAAUUAGGGUGUUUUCCGAUUAUAAUCUUACUAUUCUGAAAUCUUACUAAUGCUAUAUCGGUUACCCACAAUUUGUUCGUAACGAAAAACAUGGUUGGUAUUUUUUCCAGAUUUUCUGUUGGCAGGUCUGCCCAUCGACGCUCCAAGAGUGCCUUUGUAAGUUUCUAUAGCUUACAUAAAGAGGCGAAUAUAAGGGAAUGUAAAAUUGUUAUUUAGGCCCUUAACUUUAUUAAAAUUUCAAAUUAGUAAAGGUAAAAUUAUACUUUGGCCUCAUAAAAUUAUAAAAAUUCAAUUUAAUCUUUUAAAAAUUAUAAAGAUAUAGACUACAAAAAAUUAAAAUUUCAUUCUAUCCACCCUAAAAAAUUAUUCGGGCUUUGCUGCUACUUACAUAAUAAACAUAUGGAAAAUACUUUUGGUGUAAUUCAAAUUUACCCCUUAUAGUCAAUUUAAUUUUCAUUUUUUUUAAUUUAAUUUUCUAUCUUUUGGAAGAGUCGAACUUAACUAUCAAUUUAAAUUUAUGUUUUUUUAACGAAAAUAGUGACUAAAAUAUUAAAAUGUUAAACAUGACAACUCAAACGGCAAUCCACAUCUAUAUUUUUAUAUUCAUUUCUUAUUUUUUAAAUUAUUUAUUGACGUGACAUAUAAUAAAAGUAUUGUUAUGUUAGCAUGAAGUACACAUGAAUUGCCACACUAGUUGUGACACCAAUAUCGUUAAAAAAUUAAUAUUUCAGUUAGCAUAUUUGUUAAAGAAAAGUAAAUUGGUUCUUUUUUGAAAGGUUAAUGGUUAAAUUUAGCUCAAAUGAAAAAAAAUAAAGGCCAAUUUGAUAAAAAAAGGUAAAUGUCAAAAGUUAAGUUUAUCAUUUAUACAAGUAUAAAUAUAUGUCUGGAUUAAUCUAGAAAGAACCAGACAAACUCUACACGUGAUAUUCAAAUGUGACGAGAGGGAAAUCUACACAUCACAAUUGAGAAUAAUAUUAUAGAAAUACUCAAAAACCUAAAACCUUCCCCUUAACCAAGAAGCUAAGACGCUAUGGAUAAUUUUAUAUCUACAACACUUCAUGAAUUUCAUAUGCUUAAUAAGAGUUCUUUAAAUAUAUUCGAUUUUUAUUUUAUUAUUUAUAUUAUUUUGACUCAGUAUUUAAAUUAUCAUUAUGUUACAUGAUUUAUUUCAAAUAUUUUAUAUAUUUUUAUAACGAAAUUUGAAUUAAAAAAAUAUCAAUUUUAUUAUUAAAUUAUAAUUUGAUAUAUUUUGAGAUAAUGCAAUUUUAAGUAUUUCAAUUUAUUUAAUCAUUAUUUUUAAACUCGUUUUUUGUUUUGUUAGUAUUGCAUAAUUUUAACGUGUAUAUAUAUAUAUAUAUUUAAAGUUCUACUUAUUUUUAAGUUAUGUCAAAUAAUUGACAACUUUAUUAAAGUAUGCAUUUGAAUUUAUAAAUUUUUUUAGGUUGAAAUUAAAUUGUAUACUUUUACGAUAGUAAAAAUAUAAUUUUAUCAUUUUAAUUGCCUAUAUCGUUAUAAAUUUUAAAAUAUUAAAUCAAAUUUAUAUCAUUUUUGGAGGGUAAAGUAUAAUUUUAUCAUUACUAAUUUAAAAUUUUAUAAAUUAUAAAGGGGUCUAAAUAAUUUUUUUUUCAUUUUAAAGGAGACCAAGACUCUACAACCCUUGAAUUCGCCUCUAUCCAUAUAUUAUAUUUUAUUAAUCGAUUAUACAUGUAAACAUAUUUGUUUUUACUAAUACAUUUUAUUAAUCAAAUGGCUUUUUUUUUUUUACUGUUAAGUUAUCUUUUUUUAACUCCAUACAACAAAAUUUAUUUGCUCACAGUUUAACAUAUUUUUUUAUUAUUUCAGCAAUAAUAUUUUAUACUUAUCUAUAUAUCAAAUAUCAUGAUUCUCUAACAUUAUUAAGAUUAAAUAAAUAAAAUAUGUAUAUAUAUAAAUAAUGUUUUUUUACAAAAUUUUAAUUGUUUAAUCUCAAUAAUUUUCUUUUGCAACAUUAAAUCAUAUAAUACAUUUAGAAUAUUAAAAAUGUAUCAGAUUUUUAUUAAUAUAUACAUACAAUAAAUUUGUGUAUAGCAUGAGUAAACAAAUUAAUUAUUAAACUAUAAUUUGGCUCAAACUAAGUUAACCUUAACUUAAAAUUAGGUUAAAGUACUUGGGAUUUGGGACUUGGGAGGUUGGACUGGAUUAAAUUAGUCCUUCUGUUAUUAAAUGGAUCGAUUUAGUCCUUAUAUUAUUAAAAAGAAUCAAAUAAGUUCAAACUGAAAUAGAGUUAACAUUUACUGUAUAAAAAAUGUCUCGGCAAUUGCAAUUCAAUUCCAAACAGAAUGGUUCAUGUAUAUAACCAUAAGAACUUUUUAAAUAUUCACUUGUUAGACAAUAAUAGUAUAGGACUAAAUUGAUCCAUAUAUAUAUUAUUAAUAGAAAUGAGAAUUGUGCUUGGCCAAGUUUCUAAGUUUGGUAUUUGUUCUUACUUUCCUUCUUCAACCGUAGGAGCCACUCUCAUGACUUUUAUUUACUUUGCCAAGUUACUAAGUCAUGACUUUAGUAAAAGAUUUAGUUCCAUUUGUCGCUCCAACAUAACUUUUUUUUAACGAAGAUUCCAGUUAUAUCGAUAGGUAUACAUUGUUUCAAUAAUAAUUCGAAACAAUCAAUUUUAUUUUUUGCACAACGGUGGCGGGAGGUGGCAAGCAGGGGUAAAUGUAUAAGAUUAUAAAUUUCAAAGGUAAGAUUGUAAUUUGGCCCCAAAAAAUCAUAAGGCUUUAAUUUAGUUCUUUAAAAAAUUAUAAUGGUAUUAGCUAAUACAAUGAUGAAACUGUGUUUUAACCCUUAUCGAAAUUUAUAAUUUAAUUUCGGUCCCUCAAAUAAAAUUUUUGACUUCGUCCUUAUUUCCGCACUAGUAAAAAUUCUAAUCUAUAUCAUCUGCAACGGCCAAUACUAUAACAGUCUGAUUUUCAAUGGUAUCGGAAAAGAUGGUUUUGAAACCCCAUUUUCAUUGUCUGAGUCCAUAAAUAUUAAUAUUUAAUAUUUACAAGGCUAGUAUAAAAGUUUAUUGCAGUUUGGUCCAGCAAUUUUGUCUAAUUGAUAGUUAAAUAAGGUACAUGAACUAAAUUAUAAAAGUCCAAUCAAUAUAGGUUUUUAAUUAGCAAAGGACCAAAAGGGCUAUUAAACCAUCUUUUAUUAUAUGAUAGUGGAUAUAAACAAAUAUUAAAUUUAGUUAAUUAAACUUGAUUAUGAUUAAUUAAUCCAGUUUAAUUAAAUUCUAAUUAGACAAUAUAUACAAAUUAAGUGGAAAAAAUGAAAACAUUUUUCAUCUUCAUCAUCUUUGCUGAAUUUGAGAGACAGAAAAACCUAGAAAGCUUUCAUACAUUCGGUCCUCAAUUUCUAAGGCGAUUUAAGUUUUUUUCUUGUAACUUUUAUAUAUUUGAGGUUAUGGACGCUUCAUUUAUUUAGCUCAUGUAAUAAUUUGUAAAAUUGUUAAAGUUUUUGAAAGUUGCCGUUUUUAGUUUCUUGAAUAAAUAAAUAUUAAAUUAAUAGAUUUUAAGGUUAGAUGUGAAAAAGAAUUAAAUUAUAAAAUUUAAAUUGAUAAUUUUAAGCAAAAGGAUAAAAUUGUAUAAAUUGAAAAUUUGACGCUAGUUUUUUUAUAGUUUUAGAUAAUAGAGAGUUCUAAAAGAAUGUGAUUGAAAUUGAUUUCUGAUUUAGAGAUUAAAUUAAAUAAAAUAUGAAAUUUUAAAAAUAUCAUAAAAAUAAAAUUUAACUGACUCAUGCAUGCAUAUAACAAAAACUAAAAUUUUAAGGACACACCUUCAUGCAUUUCACUUCAUUAAUAACGAAAGAAGCAUGGCUACCUAGCUUUCUGCUUCAUCCAAAAUUGUUGAACUUUGGCCUAUAAUGCAAUAGUAGAGAAGCAAUGAAGCUCAACCAGUACAACAGCAACAUUUUGUUCAUAUGCAACUAGCUUUAGUUCUUUUGUAAUUUGUAUUUAAAGUUAGUAAGAUUAGUUGAUGAUUUGAAUAAUGUCUAAUGUGAUGUAAUAGUUGAUAUGCCAACUACAUUUUGUGUGUAAUUUAAGCUUUGUUUUAGUCAAGUUAUUAGUGGGAGCAGUUGUGUAUUAGGAAACUCUCAUGUAACUUAUAUGUUUAUCUUAAUGAAAAAUGCAUAUGAAAUUAGUUUUCAAGUUUCAUUUUUGUUCAAUUCUCUUUGUAUUCGUUUCUUGCUACUUUUCUCCUUUGUUUUCUAUCAAAACAUCAACAAAUGGUAUACAGAGCCUGUCAUUUUUGAGGGACUUUAUUGUUGGUAGUUGUUUUUGUGAGAAACCUUGAAGAAAAAGAAACUGAGGUUGUUGUUUUUAUUGUUGCUGCAAAAUGAGUUUUACACCACCACCACUACCACCUCUUUUUGCUGGUGAAAACUACCACAUUUGGGUAGUAAAGAUGAAGACUUACCUGCAAGCACAUGACUUGUGGAAUGUGGUUGAGAAUGACACAGAACCAGCUCCAUUGAGGGCCAAUCCCACUAUUGUAGAAAUUAGACAACAUUGUGUAAAGUGUGCUAAGAAGCACAAAUCUAUGUCAUGCUUAAAAAAUAGUGUCUGAUGUGAUCUUCACUCGAAUAAUGGCUUGUGACACUCCAAAGUAAGCCUCAGAGAAGCUGAAGGAAGAGUUUCUCGGGCCAGACAAGACUAGGCAGUAGCAGUUGAUCAACCUUAGGAAGGACUUUAAGAACUUGAAGAUGAGAGAGUCUAAAACAAUCAAGCAGUACUCUGAUAGGAUAAUGGCCACAGUCAACAACAUCAGGCUCCUUAGAGAUGAAUUCAGUGAGAGUAGAAUUGUUAAGAAAGUCAUUACAACCCUUCUUGAAAAAUUUAAAGCAAAAAUCUCCUCAUUAGAAGACUCGAGAGAUUUAUCAACCAUCUCACUAUCUGAGUUGAUAAAUGCUCUAUAUGCAUUAGAGCAAAGAAGGGCCAAUAGGAUGGAAGAGCAUCCUGAAGGAGCUUUCCAACUAGAAACCAAGGAAAGCUCAGGUUCAAGCUAUAAAGGAAAGAAACCAUGGCUUAACAAAAGGGAGAAACCAAAGAGGGAUGCAGGGAAGAAAAUGUUCCCACCAUGUAUUCACUGCAAAAGGUCCACACACUUGGAGAGGUAUUGCUGGUACAGACCUGAUAUUCAGUGUAAGAGCUGCAAGUAGUUUGGUCACAUUGAAAAGGUUUGCAAGAACAAAGGAACGACAUAAGCUCAACAGCAAAAUCAAGCUCAAGCUGCUGAGGAUAUUCAAGCUCAAGAGGAGCAUGUUUUCACUGCAUCCUAUUUUGCAACCUCAAGAAAAUUCAGAAGAGACUAGUUAGUAAACAGUGGCUGCACUCAUCAUAUGGCAUCUGAUGAAGGGUUAUUCAGAGAUCUUAACAAAAGAUUUGUUUCCAAAGUUAAGAUUGGAAAUAGAAACCUUAUUGAGGCCAGAGGCAAAAGCAAUGUUGUGAUCAACACACAUUCAGGUAACAAAAUAAUUUCAGAUGUUCUUUUUGUACUUGACAUAGACCAAAAUCUGCUUAGUGUUGGUCAAUUAAUAUAAAAGGGUUAUUCACUCAAUUUUAAGAACAACUCCUGUGUUAUUGGAGAUUCACUUGGUGAAGAAUUAGUUACAGUUGCUAUGACUGAGAGAUGCUUUAUGUUGGAUGUGAACCAGUUUGAAAUGAAGGCCUAUACUAGUCUUGCUGAUAAAGCUAGUUUAUGGCAUAAAAGGUUAGGCCAUGUCAAUUAUAAAUCACUCAGUUUGUUGCACAAACUCAAUUUGGUUGAAGACAUGUCCAAGGUUGAAGUCAAAGACAAAGUUUGUAAAAUUUGUCAGCUUGGGAAGCAAGUGAGAUUGCCUUUUCCAGUUAACAAGGCAUGGAGAGCUCGAGACAAGCUUCAAUUGGCCCAUACUGACAUUUGUGGACCAAUGAAGACCUUUUCUUUGAAUGAUAGCAGAUACUUUGUGCUAUUCAUAAAUGAUUAUACAAGGUUCUACUGGGUAAUUUUCUAAGACAAAAGUCAAAAGUACCUGAAGUAUUCAGCAAGUUCAAAGCCUUAGCUGAGAAUUAAUGAGGCUGUAAGCUUAAGGCCUUGAGAUUCAGUAAUUUGAUGAGGAAAAUGUAUGGAACUGGAAUGUUACAGAUGCAAACUUGAGUGAGGAAGGUCAACAAGAUAAUAAUCUGUAACCAGCUGAAGAAGAAGAGCCAAUUGCUGAUGAUUUUGAUGAUGUACCUGUGAAAGACACAAGAACCAUUACUGACAUCUAUCAAAGAUGUGAUGUUGCAAUACUGGACCUACAAAUUUGAUGAGGCUGCCAGAGAAUAGUGUUGGAAAAGGGCCAUGGAAGUUGAAAUGGAGAUGAUACACAAGAACAACAUUGGGAACUGGUUGACAGACCAGACCAAAAGAGAGUUAUUGGUCUGAAGUGGGUGUUUAUGGUUAAGUACAAUAUUGAUGGGUCUCUAAACAAACACAAGGCAAGACUUGUGGUGAAGGGAUACAGCCAACAGUAUGGCAUCGAUUUCAUAGAAACAUUUGCUCCAGUUGCAAGGUUAGUUACUAUAAGGCACUUGUUUUCCUUAGCUGCUCAAAAGAAAUGGAGAGUGAAUCAAUUGGAUGUUAAGUCUGCUUUUCUGAAUGGCUUCCUUAAGGAAGAAAUCUUCAUUGAACAACCAUAUGGGUUCAAGAUUCCUCAUGAAGAGAAUAAGGUCUACAAGCUGAAAAAGGCUUUGUAUGGUUUGAAGCAAGCACUAAGGGCCUGGUAUGACAGAGUUGGUGCAUAUCUGUCUAGGCUCAGUUUUGAGAAGAGUAUCAGUGAGCCUACUCUCUAUGUGAAGAAAUCAAAAAAUGAAACCCUGUUGAUUAUGUCACUUUAUGUAGAUGAUCUACUAGUAAUUGGAAGCGAGGGGAAGCUGAUUGAAGAGUUUAAAAUAUAGAUGCAAGAUGUCUUUGAAAUGAGUGACUUGGGGGAAAUGACUUACUUUCUUGGCAUGAAAGUGAAUCAGUUUGAUCAUGCCAUCUUCAUAAGUUAGCAAGCUUUUGCCAUAAAUAUUUUAAACAAAUUUUGCAUGUCAAAAUACAAAAUUUUUAGCACACCAGUGGCUCAAGGUGAAAAAGUAACCAACCUUGGCAACCAUGAAAGAGUUGAUGAGAAGGUGUAUAGAAGCCUUGUAGGUUGUCUACUCUACUUGACAGCUACAAGGCUUGAUAUCAUGUUUGUUGUUAGCCUUCUGUCCAGAUUCAUCCAUUGUCGCAAUGUUGUUCAUUUUAAGGCAGCCAAAAGAGUUCUUAGAUAUGUGAAAGGGACUUUGGAUUAUUGAGUGAAAUUUGGGAAGACAAACGAACUCAAGUUGAUAGGGUAUUCUGAUAGUGAUUGGGCAGGUCCAUUGAUGACAUGAAGAGCACAUCUGACUAUUUCUUCACUCUUGGCUAAGGUGUUUUUUGUUGGAGUUCAAAGAAACAACAAAUAGUUGCUUAAUCAAUAGCAGAAGCAGAGUGCAUUGCAGCUGCUGUAGCUGUUAAUCAAGCCAUUGGUUUAGGAAGCUCUUAUGUAAUUUGAAUGAAGAUCAAGUUGAAGCUACUAAUAUUAGAGUUGACAAUAAGUCAGCUGUUGCCAUAGCAAAAAAUUCAGUAUUUCAUGGCAAAACUAAGCAUUUUAAGAUUAAAUUUUAUUUUGUUAGAGAGGUUGAACAAUCAAAAGAAGUUAAUUCAAUUCAUUGCAGCUCAAAAAACCAGCUUGCCGAUAUUCUAACUAAGUCUCUCGGUGCUAUAAGAUUUGAGAACUUAAGAAGAAGUAUUGGUGUUUGUUGCAUAUAGUCCAAGGAGGAGUGUUGAACUUUGGCCUGCAAUGCAACAGCAGAGAAGCAUUGAAGCUCAACCAGCACAGCAGCAACAUUUUGUUCAUAUGCAACUAGCUUUAGUUCUUUUGUAAUUUGUAUUUAAAGUUAGUAAGAUUAGCAGAACUGGAUAUUGUCGUAUUUGAUUAUAAAAAGGUGUCGGCUGGAAUUUAAUUCUCAUUGAGUGUUUUUUUAUAAAAUAACUUGAAAAUUUUUAUUAAUUAUAAAAAUGAUAUUUUUUAUUAGGUAAUAAAUAAUAAAACUGAGUGAAAUUAAAGAGAUUAGUGCCACAUCAACCAAUCAUUAACUGUUAAAAUUAAAAAAAUUAUUUUUUGAAUGAAGCCAACCCAUAUCGCAUCAUUGCGGCAGAAAGCAAUAAAGUAUGCACUAAUCAAUUGUUUUUAAUUGCUAAUAUUUAGUGAUAAAAUAAUAUUUAAUUAUCGAAAUUUGAUAAUAGUAACGAAGUUGAAAAAGGUUUUACAAUUUAGUUUUGAAAUAUAUAUUUUUAUUGAAGUUAAACUGUAAUUUAAUUAUAUUGAUUUGUAAUUUUACAUUGUUUAAAGGGACUAGAUCAAUUUUUUAUUAUUUUGGAGGUCAAUAUGCAAUUUAACAUGUAAAAUUUCAACUUUCAAGGAGACUCAAAGCAUAAAUUAACAUUUUAGGGGACCAAGGUCUUGCCUACCCCUUGUCGCCACCCCUCAUUGGUAAUUUAACUACUUCGGCCUUUGAAUUUUUUUGUCUAAAUUUAUCCUGAAAUUUGAUAGUUUUUCCUAAUGUAGUCCUUGAACAUUGGUCUAUGCUACAUCUUAGAUUUUUUUUAAAAAAUUUUUUAAAUGAUGACAUGGUUUUUUAAUAGAAUUUAAGUUCAAGAAUUAAAUUUAAAAAAUUGUUAAGUUCAAAGGCUAAAUAUUACAUUAUCCUUAAUAUUUGUUACCCGGUUUUAGAAGUCCAUUGAAUUUCUUGCCUGUUUACUUUUGUUAUUAACCAUUGCUUUGUUCUUCUUUGUUUAAUUUUAGGUCCCAUAAUUGAAAAAAGAAUGGAUGAGAAAUUUCUAAAAUCAUUAGAAACAAGAAAAUAUGAUCUCAAAUCCAAUGAAGCAUUGAAGCUCAACUAGUACAGCAGCAACAUUUUGUUCAUAUGCAACUAGCUUUAGUUCUUUUGUAAUUUGUAUUUAAAGUUGGUAAGAUUAUUUGAUGAUGUGAAUGAUGUCCAAUGUGAUGUAAUAGCUGAUAUGUCAGCUACAUUUUUUGUGUAAUUUAAGCUUUGUUUUAGUCAAGUUAUUAGUGGGAGAAGUUGUGUAUUAAGAAACUGUCAUGUAACUUCUAUGUUUAUCUUAUUGAAAAAUGUAAAUGAAAUCAGUUUUCAGGUUUCAUUUUUGUUCAAUUCUCUUUGGAUCCGUUUCUUGCUUCUUUUCUCCUUUGUUUUCUGUCAAAACACCAACAAAAAUUCACAUGUAUACAAAUUAGGACAACGUAAGUGGUCACUGAACAGCCCUAUUUAAAGAAGAAUAUACCAAAAUAAGACAAACCUAAGACCUGAACACUGACCUCAUGUGCUGCAAAGCUAUAAGAUGUUCUGAAAUUACGAAAAUCUUGUUAACAUUAAUGGAAGACAAUUAAUAAUGGUUGCCAUUAACAUUAAUGGGAGACAAUCAAUAAUGACAACCACCAACUUUGGAAAAGUGGCAAGGGAUAAUUUUUUUUGGUCCUUGAGAUAAUGGGCUAUUUAUUGUUUGGUCCUUGAACCUCAACUAUAAAUAGGUCUUCUCAUUUCUCAUUUCAAUUCAUCCCAACCAAUCUUUCUCUCUUAGUUUUCUCUCUUCUCCCAUUUGAGAAUUCUUAAGGAAUUCUAUUUGUUUGUAAUACUUUGAAGAUAGUAAAGUUAUCAUCUGGUGUUAGUGCCCGAGGACGUAGGUAUAAUUUACCGAACCUCGUUAAAACUCUUGUGUUCUUUAUUGUCCUAUUUUUCUUUCAAUAUUUGAGGGUAUAAUAGUAGUAUUUAAUUGUGCUAUUAAAUUACUAUAGAAGGGAUAUUCUGUCUAAGGAAAGACUUGGUAUUUAAGAGAUCCAUGUGAUCCACCUCUCUUCCCUGGGAAUUGAACUUUGUGUGAUUUUUAGUACAAUAAUUUAUACGCUUCCAACCCUAUUGGAACUACAAGUGGUAUCAAGAGCCGAAGGUUAAUCGUAGUAUGCUCUGUGGUUGCAGUUUAAACUGAUCUUCCACAUCAGAAAAGAUUUCCUUAGGUAUAUUGAAAGAUUAUGGAGAAAACGGUCGGUGUAGGAGCUUCAACAUCGUCCAUGUGGACAAGACCGACAAUUGCAAAUGCAAGAUUGGCCGUAGAGAUCUUUGAUGGCACGGGCCAUUUUGGUAUGUGGCAAAGUGAGGUUCUAGAUGCCCUUUUUCAGCAGGGUCUAGACAUUGCCAUUGAUGAAGAGAAACCAGAUGAUGUACAGGAGAAAGAUUGGAAAGCGAUCAAUCGGUUGGCAUGUGGCACAAUUCGAUCAUGCCUUUCUCGAGAGCAGAGGUAUGCUUUUUCAAAAGAGACUUCUGUAAAUAAGUUGUGGGUGGCACUUGAAGAUAAUUUUUUGAAGAAAAACAGUCAAAAUAAGCUCCACUUGAAGAAAAGACUGUUUCGCUUCACAUACGUCCCAAGUACCACAAUGAAUGAUCACAUCACCAAAUUUAAUCAGUUAGUCACUGAUUUGCUGAAAAUGGAUGAGACAUUCAAAGAUGAAGAUUUGGCUUUGAUGCUGUUGGGGUCACUUCCUGAGGAGUUUGAGUUCCUAGAAACUACUCUACUUCAUGGCAGGAGUGAUAUAUCUCUGAGCGAAGUCUGUGCGGCCUUAUACAGUUACGAACAGAGAAAGAAGGACAAACAGAAAAACUCAAUCAGAGAUACAGAAGCUUUAGUAGUCCGAGGUCGUUCAUACACUCGGAAGAAAACUCAAAAUGGGAGAUCAAAGUUAAAGUCCAGACUCGGGAAAGAUGAAUGUGCUUUUUGUCAUGAGAAAGGCCACUGGAAGAAAAAUUGUCCAAAGCUGAAGAAUAAGGGAGAAGCUGCUGUAGAUGCUUGUGUUGCUAAGCAUGAUACUAGUGACUCUGAACUAUCACUGGUUGCAUCAUCAUCGUCAUUCCAUUCAGAUGAGUGGAUAUUGGAUUCGGGUUGUACCUAUCAUAUGUCCCCUAACCGGGAGUGGUUCUCUGAUUUAGUAGAACUAAAUGGAGGAGUUAUUUAUAUGAGCAAUGACAAUGCCUGUAAAACUGUUGGGAUAGGUUCAAUCCAAUUAAAGAAUCAAGAUGGAUCAACCAGAGUUCUGACUGAUGUUCGGUACGUUCCCAGUUUGAAGAAAAAUCUCAUCUCAUUGGGAGCCUUGGAAUCCAAUGGUUCAGUUGUUACUAUGAGAGAUGGGAUUUUGAAAGUGACAUCUGGCGCACUUGUGAUAUUGAAGGGCAUCAGGAAAAAUAACUUGUAUUACUACCAAGGUAGUACAGUUAUUGGAGCAGUCGCUACAGCUUCCGGUAACAAAGAAUUGGACUCAAUGCAGUUGUGGCAUAUGAAGUUGGGACAUGCCAGCAAAAAAUCCUUGCAAAUUCUGGCAAAGCAAGGAUUGUUGAAAGGUGCAAAGGCUUGCAAAUUAAAAUUUUGCGAGCAUUGUGUUCUGGGAAAGCAAAAGAGAGUGAAAUUCGGUACUGCUAUCCAUAAUACAAAAGGUAUUUUGGAAUAUGUUCACUCAGAUGUGUGGGGGCCUUCCAAGACACCUUCAUUGGGAGGAAAACACUACUUUGUUACUUUUGUUGAUGACUUUUCCAGAAGAGUUUGGGUGUAUACCAUGAGAACUAAGGAUGAAGUGCUUAGAGUUUUUUCUUAAAUGGAAAACUAUGAUCGAAAACCAGACUGGCAAGAAAAUCAAGCGGCUUAGGACGGACAAUGGAGGGGAAUAUAAAAGUGAUUCGUUCUUCGAUGUGUGCCAAGAGUAUAGUAUUGUUCGACACUUCACAGUUAGGGAUACACCACAACAGAAUGGAUUGGCAGAGCGUAUGAAUCGAACAUUGCUAGAGAAAGUUCGAUGUAUGUUGUCCAAUGCUGGGUUGGGCAAGCAAUUUUGGGCUGAGGCUGUGACAUACGCUGGCCAUCUUGUUAAUCGUUUGCCAUCAUCUGCAUUAGAAAGAAAAACUCCUAUAGAGGUAUGGUCUGGAAAACCGGCUACAGAUUAUGAUUCCUUACAUGUGUUUGGAACCACUGCAUAUUACCAUGUGAAGGAGUCAAAGUUAGAUCCGAGGGUAAAGAAAGCUCUCUUUAUGGGAAUCACUUCUAGAGUGAAGGGAUUUCGUCUUUGGUGCUUAAGCACAAAGAAAAUGAUCUGUAGCAGAGAUUUUACCUUUGAUGAAUCUGCCACAUUGAAAAAGGUAGCAGAUAAAGAUAUUCAGACGAGCAAUACUCCACAGCAGGUGGAGUGUACUCCAAAACAGGUGGAGUUUGAGCAGAUGAGGAUUUGCCCAGUUAAUAAGUCUAAUUCUCCAGCCACAAUAGAGGAAUUAGAGGUUGAAGAGGUUCUGACCCAAGAACCACUAAGUACACCAGAACCAGUUGCAGUUGCAAGGCCACGGAGAGAAAUUCGUAAACCUGCUCGAUUUACUGAUAUGGUGGCCUACGCCCUUCCCGUUGUUGAUGAUAUUCCUAUCACUUAUCAAGAAGCAAUGCAAAGCUUAGAAAGUGAUAAAUGGAAAAGCGCCAUGGAUGAAGAAAUGCAGUCUCUCCGAAAGAACAAUACUUGGGAGUUGGCGCAAUUACCGAAAGGUAAAAGGGCAAUCGGAUGCAAGUGGGUAUUCGCAAAGAGAGAUGGAUCUCCUAGCAAGAAGGAUAUUCGCUACAAGGCAAGAUUGGUAGCUAAAGGCUACGCUCAGAAGGAGGGAAUUGACUACAAUGAUGUAUUUUCCCCUGUUGUGAAGCAUUCCUCCAUUAGAAUUUUGUUGGCCUUGGUAGCACAGUUGAAUUUGGAGCUAGCUCAACUUGAUGUUAAGACGGCUUUCUUGCAUGGUGAGUUAGAAGAGGAGAUCUAUAUGACUCAGCCCGAAGGAUACACAGAUGCUGGUGGUAGAAAUUGGGUUUGUAAGCUUAACAAAUCGCUAUAUGGAUUGAAGCAAUCCCCGAGGCAGUGGUACAAGCGAUUUAAUAGCUUUAUGAGAAGGCAAAAGUACACAAGAAGCAAAUAUGACAAUUGUGUGUAUUUGCAGAAGCUGCAUGACGGAUCUUUCAUUUAUCUACUCUUGUAUGUUGAUGAUAUGUUAAUCGCUUCGAAGAGCCAAAAAGAGAUAGAUAAGCUGAAGGCUCAGUUGAAUCAAGAGUUCGAGAUGAAAGAUCUAGGUGAGGCCAAGAAGAUUCUCGGCAUGGAGAUAAGUAGAGAUAGACAGAGAGGCAAGCUUUGUUUGAAUCAGAAGCAAUAUCUGAAAAAGGUAUUACAAUGUUUUGGUGUAAAUGAAAACACAAAACAUGUAAGUACCCCACUUGUUUCUCAUUUGAAACUUAGUGCUCAAUUAUCUCCGAAAACUGAAGAAGAAAGAGAAUAUAUGGCAAAAGUCCCAUAUGCUAAUGCAGUUGGGAGUUUGAUGUAUGCGAUGGUGUGUACGCGGCCUGACAUUUCACAAGUUGUUGGAGUUGUGAGCAGGUAUAUGCAUGAUCCUGGAAAAGGACAUUGGCAAGCUGUGAAAUGGAUUCUACGGUAUCUUCGAAAAACCGUAGAUGUUGGUUUAAUUUUUGAACAGGAUGAAGCACUUGGUCAGUUUGUAGUUGGAUAUGUUGAUUUCGACUUUGCUGGUGAUUUAGAUAAACGUCGUUCAACUACGGGGUAUCUGUUUACUCUUGCGAAAGCCCUAGUGAGUUGGAAGUCUACCUUACAGUCUACAGUAGCUGUGUCUACUACAGAGGCAGAAUAUAUGGCAGUUACAGAAGCUGUUAAGGAGGCUAUUUGGCUUAAUGGAUUGUUGAAAGACUUAGGAGUUGUUCAAAGUCACAUAAGUUUAUAUUGUGACAGUCAGAGCGCUAUUCAUUUAGCGAAAAAUCAAGUCUAUCAUUCAAGAACCAAGCAUAUCGACGUAAGAUAUCACUUUGUGCGGAAAGUCUUUGAAAAAGGAAAAAUUCUACUUCAGAAGAUUCCGACAGCAGAUAAUCCCGCAGAUAUGAUGACCAAGGUGGUAACAACAAUCAAGUUUAAUCAUUGUUUGAACUUGAUUAACAUCCUGAGAAUUUGAGCACCUUCAGGUGUAUGGCGCUCGAGAGCGCAUUUGUAGGCACUACAAAAGAUAGCUUUAUCGAAUUUGGGGAGUUGAAGGAAGUGUGUGAAGAUGUGAUUAUCCUAAUCAAAUCUUCAAGGUGGAGAUUGUUAACAUUAAUGGAAGACAAUUAAUAAUGGUUGCCAUUAACAUUAAUGGGAGACAAUCAAUAAUGACAACCACCAACUUUGGAAAAGUGGCAAGGGAUAAUUUUUUUUGGUCCUUGAGAUAAUGGGCUAUUUAUUGUUUGGUCCUUGAACCUCAACUAUAAAUAGGCCUUCUCAUUUCUCAUUUCAAUUCAUCCCAACCAAUCUUUCUCUCUUAGUUUUCUCUCUUCUCCCAUUUGAGAAUUCUUAAGGAAUUCUAUUUGUUUGUAAUACUUUGAAGAUAGUAAAGUUAUCAUCUGGUGUUAGUGCCCGAGGACGUAGGUAUAAUUUACCGAACCUCGUUAAAACUCUUGUGUUCUUUCUUGUCCUAUUUUUCUUUCAAUAUUUGAGGGUAUAAUAGUAGUAUUUAAUUGUGCUAUUAAAUUACUAUAGAAGGGAUAUUCUGUCUAAGGAAAGACUUGGUAUUUAAGAGAUCCAUGUGAUCCACCUCUCUUCCCUGGGAAUUGAACUUUGUGUGAUUUUUAGUACAAUAAUUUACAUGCUUCCGACCCUAUUGGAACUACAAAUCUUUGUUCUUUCAUUGGGUUUCUUAUCUUCCUUUUACACAAUUAAAAACCCAUAUAUAAUUUUAAAAAUACUUUCAGGCUUCUUUGUCUUGCUAAUUUCUGUAGAAAAUUACUGGUCUAUCACUGCCCCAAAGGUUCCAGCAUUUGAAGCACAAGAUAUUGGCACAUCAUAUAAGUUCUAAAUUUGUCACCAACAACUGACAAAACUGAGUAGAAUUACAUUAAUUAUGCUUAACAUUACACUUCAGGCAUACAUGCAAUUAAAAGUAAAAUCGAAAUAACACUAAACAUACUCGGAGUCGGAGGUGAAGAGGCGGUUGAAAGAGCGCGGAUUAAAGAGAAGAGGACUGGCGAGGUGGCGGGUAUUGAGGGCAAUGGAUGAGUGUUUUGAGGUGGGUUUUGAAAGAGCGUCUGAGGGAAAGCGAUAGAAACAUGGUGGAAGAAAGGAAGAGUUAAUGGAAGGAAAAUUUUAGGGUUUUGUUCUUUGUAUGAGAUCAUUUCAUAGAAUUGAUUAAGAAAGGAAGCAUCUAAGGAAGGAAAGGAGCUUAUUAGUGUUGUUUUCCGGUUUGGAUGUUUGGUUUAUUUUAUUAUUCAAAAUUAAUUUUUUUAAAACAAUGAAACAAGUUAUUUGAACCAGAUGGGUUUGAGACUAGGUUUGAUUUUUCUUUCUAGAGUCAGAACAUAGGCUUGAUGUAUGAAUACUUUUAAUUACAAUUGUAUUUGAGCUGUGAUGAUAUUCAACUAAAGCCCUCUCAAUAAUAAUAACUCUAAAUUUAAACUUAAAAAUAACUUUGAGCUAAUCUUGAUCGAUUACUCCAAUCACACAACACGAAUAACUAAAGCUUCCUCAACCUCAACAAAUGUUAUAGUGUCAAGAUUGAACAAACUGUCUCCUAGUACCCUAUUGAUUAGGCAACUUUGAUGUUGAACAUCCCACAAAAACAUGAAAAAAAGAAAAGAAAAAGAAUCACAAUUAUAUUUAACUCAUGCAACAAGUUUCACCUUUUUUUUUGUGAGAAAAAGAUCAAGCCACUAUUAGGGAGUCUUGGGCUUCUAGUUGAAGCCUGUGAAUCAUUAGAAUAAGAAAAUUCAUGUAAUGCUUAUUGCCAAAUCACAAUCUCGUCAGAAUUGAGGUUUUUCAAAAACAAAACAAUUAACAAAUAUUUAUGGCCUGAAACCUUAACCUACCCUAAUAGAAAGGUAAAAGAACAAUGUGCUCAAUGGAUUUCACUUCUUCCCCACACCUCGGUCAAUGAGGAUCCACCUCCUUAAACAUUUUGGCAAUGUUUUGUUUAGUAGUAACACAUUGUGGCAAGACCUCCUAAGGAGAUUUUUGAUAUUUAUUAUCACAUUAAGCUCUCAUGAAUGAUUUAAACCUUUCUAAGACAAAUCAUUGUUAGCAUUUUAUCCGUUUGGGGCCGCAUAUGAGAGAGGUAGAGAAAAGAGUCACUCGUACCCAUAUCAAAUGUUGUAAGAUUCAUCUUCCGAAAAAUGCCACACAAAUUUAUCUCGCUUAGUAGGGGACCUAAUAAGGAUUUUCUCAAUAACCUUAUGUUUAUUUUGGCUAAAACAUUGUUGUAGUAAAUCGCUCUUCCAAAUCCACAAGUCCAGAUCAAUCAGGUCCUUAAACAAAAUAAGGCUUAUCUCAAAGGAGGAAAGGAUGGAAUAUAUUCAAAAAGAUUACAAGUCGAGGACCCAUUGAUCAUGUGAAACCAUAAUGUCCUAGUCACUUUUGAAUUCAAUUUGGUUGCAAGAUUUUUAGUUAAAUUAAUAAUUCAAAAUUUUAGUAGGUAUCUUUCAUGUCUGAUGUACGAUUUUUGAAGACUAAUCUUUUUAGGAUUCGUGGUUACCCCUUCCAACGAUAUUAUUAUAUCUAAGGUUUAAAUAUGAAUUUUUUUCUUAGGAAUACAAUAUGCCUCCCCUUCUCAAUUUUUGUUCAUUGUUAAUUGAUCAUUUAAAUAGGAAUGCAUUUGUUUUAAACCUUGGUAAUUAGUUGGGUCUAGUGAACUUUAGGAGCUUAUUCUAUGCAUGUAACUCCCAACAUCCAUUCUUAAGAAUUCGAUGAUUGAAAUAUUUGGUUUCAAAAUUACUUCAAUUGUAAUUAUUACUUGAUUGUGGUACAAAAUUUUUGUUACAAUGUUUAGAACUAUUUACAACUCCUCCUUAACAUUUAAUAAAAGGAUAAAGGCACUUUAGCACGCUUCAACCCACAUAUCCUUCUAUACUAACAACAAUGUUGAUACUAAAUUAAAACUCAAUUUAACAAUUGUACAUAUUUUUAGGUUAAAUAAAUUUUAAGUACACAUAUUGCUGUUGUGAUGUAAGUAUUUAGGAUAAAUCACUGCAUUGUUAGACAAAUUGACCCAGACUAUAAAUUGUAUAUACAAACAAAAUUAAAGAGCAUUGGUAAAAUGUACAAAAAAAAUUGAGUAACAUUCAAUAUUUAUAAUAAAUAAAACACAAAUAUAAUAUACAAAGCUUUGAUGCCUUGAAUCUUUAGGGCUCUUCAAGCAGCCUUUAAUUUUUGUGAUUGGAUGAGUCUUGGCUGCCGCAAAUUGAAGAAGAAAAAUAUAUAAAAGCAUUUCAGAACAAAUACACACAAAAUAAGCUUCUGCAUGUAAGAAACUUAUAUAAGUUCGUUUCGGGUUUCACAAGUUUAAUCUUUUUAAGUUUGAGAUUUUAAUUUUUGAAUUGCAUCAUUACUAAUAAAAUUAUUUUAAGUAUAAAUUAUUCAGAUUAUUUUGAAUUCAAAUAAAUGUUUUGUUUGAAUCAAUUUAUAUUUGGGCCAAUAAUAAAUGGGUUUAAAUAGCUGAUUUUUUAUGGUCAAAGUGAGUUAAUUAGUUAAAUUUUCGGAUUCAUGUUAGAAUUGACACAUUUAAUUAAAAAUAUUUAAGCAUUAAAAUAAUCAAAAAGUCCCUAAGUUCAACUUACGGACGAAAAUUUAUAUUUUUACUUAGACUUCCCGAUUUUUUCAAAUUCUUAAUUAAGCCUCACAAUAAGUAUUGAAAUUUUCAAAAUUUUCAAAAUUUUCAAAACUUGCCUUUAAUUUUCUCAAAAUUCUUGAUUAAAUCUCUUAAAUUUUAUUUUCGAAAAAAGAAUUUCAUUAAACACAAAAAAUUAAAUAGAUUGAAUCCAACAUCUAGGAGUUACAAAAUUCUCAUAAAUAACAAGAGUUUACAAAAAGACUAGUAAACAAAACUUACUUUUGUUGAUGUAUAGCAUAAUAAGUCUGCAAAGCACCAAGCAAAAGUGCAGUAAUGGCACCCACAAAUGCCAAAAACGUCCAAGGACUCCUAAAAUAAGUAUGAUAACCUUGAGCUGCAUGCUUAAUCCACGUAGUCUUACAAUGAUCAUGUAUUUUCCGUUUAACCCCACUGUAAAUCGGACUAGGAACCAAAUCAGUGUUCAUCUUAUUGAAAAGCUUAGCCACUUCUUCAUCACUCCCCAAUCUAUUGUAUAGUAUGCCGGCGUCUCUCAGGUCUUUAACAUCUUCGGCUUCAUCAAUCAAUAAAUCAAGGAAACACAUAUAUGAAGUGACGGUGAAAUCGUUGUCGAAAUCCGGACACAUUUCGUAAGCUAUUAAGUUCAUGGUUGAAUCAUCGACGGAGAUCGGCGGUAAACAUAAUUUUCCGACGAAUAAGAUACGGUUGAAACUGAUGUCGGUUAAACAACUUGUUUCGCUGGCUUUUAACGAUAUCCCGACUUUUUUAAGCUCUUUUACGUUAUGAAUGGUGUGUGAAUGGCACCAUUUUGUUCCUUCUUCUUUUCUACGUUCUUGUUCAUUUGAACACGGAAAACCCCACCGCCGUGGUUUUUCUUUUUUGAAAAGGAGUCUUACUCGUAGUAGAUGCAAUAAGUGAAUUCGCUCUCCUUGCUUCUACUUCCGCCACCAUUCAUCGGAGCAAAAUCUGUAUCAGUCGAAGCAAACCUAUAAAUUUUUUUGGGGUAAAUUACACUAACAGUCACUCAACUUUGGGGUAGCUAACAAAACAGUCACUCAAGUUUCAGUUCAGUCACUGAACUUCUAAAAAAUAACAAAAUAGACACUAAUGUUAUUGAAAAGUGAUAAAUCAGUCACUCAUUAACAAUUGUCAUCACAGGCUUAAUGUGGUCAAUUAACUAGUUGAUGUGACUAGUUAACUUGCCAUGUUGGACAAGUAGUCAAAGGGUCAAAAAGAAAAAAAGAUGAUUAGUUAAGGGUAAAAAGAAAAAUAAGAGAAAUGGAGAAGAAGAAGAAAAGGAGGAAGAAGGGAAAAUGGAAGUCAAAGGGUCAAAAAGAAAAGAAAAGAUGAUUGGUUAAGGGUAAAAAGGAAAAUAAGAGAAAUGGAAAAGAAGAAGAAAAGAAGAACAGGGUAGGAAGAAGGGAAAAUGGAAGGAGCUUCCAAGCUUCAUACCAACGAUUCCCAAGGGUCAAAAUCUGGGAAUUUGGAUUUUGAUCCUUGGGAAUUACUGUUACGAAGUCCUUCCAUUUUCUCCUCUUCUUCUUUUCUUCUUUUUCUCCAUUUCUUCUCUUAUUCUUCUUCUUUUUUUUGUUCUUCUACUGCCCAAACUUCUUAAAUGGGUUUGUUUAAAUGACAGCUAGCCUACCCUUAAAUGUCAUGUCACUUUUUCGUUACGUCUGUAACGAAAAAUGGUUAAAAAGACUGUUUUGUCAGCUACCCCAAAGUUGAGUGAUUAUUGCUAUAAUUUACCCUAUUUCUUAUUUGAAAUUGUAAAUUUUUAACCAGCUAAAUUUAAGGUUUUCAAAACCCAACUCGUUAAGUUAUCGAUUUAUAAUUCUAAUUGGUCUAAUGAAUUCAUCCGAUUAAUUAAAUUAAUUAUUAAAAAUUUUCCAUUUGAUUGCCCAAUUCAAUUAAUUUUUUUUGGUUCAACCUGUUCAUAUAGAUUCUCAAAUCAAUUGGUCCAAUGACUUCCUUCAGACUAAUACCUUAAUUAAUUUCCAAUCCAAAUCGAUUCAAAUAAUAUUGGCUAAAAUACAAUUUUUAUUAUUUUAUUAAUGCAAAAAUUUUACCAUUUUAAAGAUAUUAAAAUAUAAAAUUUCUAUUUUAAAAAGUUGGAUUUGAAAUCAUAAUUUUUUUUCUAAAGAAAUGUACACUCAACAGGACCAAAGGAAUUGGCAGGGAAAUUUUGUUUUAUGGACCGUUUUCAUCACAAAUGAUCUUAUCAAAUUAAAAGAGGAUAGAUCAUCUUUUUUUUCAUAUCAUAUAUACAUUGGGACUAAACUUCCAAAUAAAAAAUAAUGUGUCUUUUUUUAAUUGAGUGGGACCAUAGAUGAUGUGGUGAAAAUGGUCCAUUAAAUAAUUUAUCACAAGCAAGAGUAAUUCCAAAAAUAGAAAAUUACAUUUUAAUUCUUUAAAAAUUAUUAAAUUAUAAAUUUAUAUAUAAUAAAAUUACACUUUGACCCUCAAAAUGGAAAAAAUAUUUUGUUCAGUCUUUUUAAAAAAAUAUGAACUUAUAAAUCAAUACAUGAAAAAAUUUAAGGAUUCGACAAAACUUAUCGGUCAGGCUAGUUGUUGAGAAAAUUGAACAAGGUAUUGAUCCAGAAUAAGAGAUUAGAUUAGAUGAAUUGAGUCAUCGAAUGGAUUUUCUUUAUAUGUUUAAUAUAUCUUUAAUAUUUUCAAAAACUUAUAUAACUGAAUCGAAUAAACUAAUCAAUCAAAAUUAAGAGUAAUCAAUGUAAAAACCUUUUAACAUUUAUAACCUCGACAAAAUGAUUUUUUUAUUUAUUUUUAAAUUCCUUAAAUUACCUGUCCUCGGCUGGGGUGAUAACAGUGUCGUCGAUGAACCUUAUGAUUGCAUUCAUGAACUGUUCGCCAUCACUCGAGCUAGUAAGCAAUUCAAGAACACGAAAAGGUAUUUGGUUCUCCAACAAUAACAGAUCCGAGUACACAAAUGUAAGCAAAUCGUUUUUAAUAAACUGGCCAUAAAUUUUACAAAUAUCAUCACCGUAACGCAUAUAAACUGCUUGUAAAAUUGCGCAGCCGUCAACGAAGAACAUCCAAGCCAGUUUCUCGUCAUCGUCGCUAUACUUCUCUAAUUCCUGUGGAUCAUAGCAUUUCUUUAAGUCAUCGAUCGCUUUUUUCAUGUUGCUGUACAAGGAAUCCUUAUCGACCUUAAUGUUUUUGACGAAAUGUGCUGCUAAUUUGAGCUUGAGCUCCUUGGAUUCCUGGAGGGUGCGAUCAUCGUGGUGGAGUGGGCCGAUUGAGAUCACUUUCGGCCAGAAAUACUUCUUGAAAUCUUUGUUACGGCGAAGGGUUGAUGGGACUUUUCGGAUCAAUAGAUUGGAUUUGAAUUUGGGUUGGCCGCCCUCGAAAGCUUCGUCUAAUUUUUCGAGAUUCGCUAAUUCGCCACUGCUGAGUUGGACGUCGCCACUGCUGAGAGGGACGUCCGUGCACCGCAUAUCAAUGCUCACGGAAUCGUUGUUGGUGUUGUUGUUGAUGGUUGUUUGAUCAGUGGAAACUGCUCCGACGGCGCCGCCUCCUUCCUCCGUGGACGACAUUUUCAGGGUGAGCGGUUGGAAGUAAUAAACAAGGUGAUUUUGUAAACUGUUCUUGGCUGAGUGAGUGAUGUCGGAGAAAAGGUGGCAAAAUGGCUACGAUGAUGACAAAUAUUUUAUAGCUUACAUAAUAAACAAAUAUGGGAAAUACUUGAGGUGUAAUUUAAAUUUACCCCUUAGUGUUUAUAUUUUUACUAAUAUAAUUUUUAACUUUUAAUUUUUUAAUUAAAUUUAAUUUUCUUUUGAAAGAGUCAAUCUUAAAAAAGAAAAGUUAAAUUAAUGUUUUUUUAACAAAAAUAGUGACAAAUAUAAUAAUUGUCCUUAAGAAGCUAAGACCCUAUGAUUGGGACAUUUACAACACUUAAUAAAUUUCAUACACUUAAAAAUAGCUCCAUGCUUCUUUACAUAUAAUAAUUGCAUUUGUUAUUCUACCUAACUCUUGAAAAAUCUCAAAUUUGCAACCACAUAUUAUUCACAUGCCAACCAACCAAUUUAUUACCCACAUGCCAACCAUUUUUUUUAUUGAAGUUAUUGUACUUAUAACCUUUCACAUAUAACUAUGCUUCUUUAGAUAUGCUAAUUGCAUUUAUUGUUGUACCUCACUCGUGAAAAAUCUCAAACUUGCAACAAAAUAUUAUUCACAUGCCAACCAACCACUUUUUUUAUUGAAGUUAUUAUACUUAUAAGCUUUAUGCUUAUUGUAACACUCUAUGUUUGAUUCGAUCUACAGGACACUAUAGUUAUUGUCAGAGCAACUACAGUCAGAAUUACGAAAAGAUAAUUUGUAUUUAACAUCAAUCAUGAUGCAAUUACAGUAACACAUCAAUUAUGAGCUUUAAUCGAGCUUACGAAAGCUUUUUUGGCAGUUCGAGCAAGAAUUAGGACCAAACAGUAAAGAUUUGAAAAGUUUGGAGCGACUUCGUGACUUCAGCUUUUUCUCAUCGCAACAUGACCAUCUCAGUGUGUCACAUCAUAACGAAAAGCCUAUGCUCAUCACAACGAGACUCUCUGACUUGACAAUGUCACAAUGUCAAGAUUUGUAGUCGUGACGUGGACCCUAUAUUUGGCAAAAAUAUACAAUUUGGUACCUAAUUCAAUGCUCCAACUAAAAUCAUGCAAGAAAAAUACAUUACAUGCCAUUUCUAAAUAACUUAAAACUUACCUAAAACAUGCUAAGUAAGUUCAAACAUAUCAUUUCAAUUCCAUAGCAAUUCAUAUUACCAUUUCAUCAUUUAUAUUCAACUUUUCAAUAACUUACACUAAAUAUCAACAAGUUAUACAAACAUCUACCAUUACCUUUAUCAUGCCAUAAUGAAUCAUUCCAUUUCAAACAAUCAUCACAUUAGUUCUUUUAUUUUUCUUUUUUAGUCAACAUAUGAAAACCAACUUAGAUAGAUCACAUUCCAACUUUCCAAAUGCAUCAAAUAUUUCAUAUUCAUGUACUAACAAAGAUCAUGCCAAGAACCCACAUGCAAAGUCAUUAUAUACCACAUUUAACUCAACAAGACUUUUACACAACCAAAGAUUACUCCAAACGUUUAUAUGCAUGUCGCAAUCCUUGACUCAAAGAUAAUAAAAAAAACCGAAUUGACAAUAGAAUAGUGUAAGCUUCAAACGAUCCAACCGACAUGUUCCACAAUGUAACAACCUAAAAGGAAAAAGAAAACAAUGGGGUAAGCAUAUAAGAUGCUUAGUAACUCAUAUGUAAUCUAAACCUUACCUAGAUUAAUUGAACAUAAACAAUUACUCAAUAAGCUAUCAAAUUUAUUUUUCCAUGGCACUUAGAUAUCGUACAUGUAACAAUAUUUCAAGUCGAAAAUGUUAAAUACAAUGUUGAAUCAUUAUGUCUUCUUUUCGUAAGUUUCACUUAUAGAAAUACAAUAUAGGUUCAAGUACAAAUAUAUGUCUCGAUUAAUCUAGAAAGAACUAGACAAAAUCCACACAUGAUAAACGCAUAUAAUGAGUGUGAGACUCACACAUCACAAUUGAGAAUAAUAUUAUAGAACCAAAAUACUCAACAACCCAAAACCUUUGCGUUAACCAAGAAGCUAAGACCCUAUCAGAGGGAGAAUUUUAUAUCUACAACACUUAUUAAAUUUCAUUAGCUUAAUAAUAUAUAUUCAAAUAUUUAACAUUGUAACCAUGCUUCUUUUCAUAUAGUAAUUGCAUUUGUUAUUCUACCCAACUUAUGAAAAAUCUCAAAUAUAUAUUUUCAUUUUAUUACUUAAAUUAUUAUUACUUACUUUAAUAUUUAAAUUAUCAUUAUAUUACAUGAUUUGUUCCAAAUAUUUAACAUUGUAACGAUGCUUCUUUAAAUAUAGUAAUUGCAUUUGUUAUUCUACCUAACUCAUGAAAAAUCUCAAAUUUGCAACAUGUUAUUCACAUGCCAACCAACCAAUUUAUUAUUCACAUUCCAACUUUCUAAAUGCAUCAAAUAUUUCAUAUUCAUGUACUAACAAAGAUCAUGCCAAGAACCCACAUGCAGAGUCAUUAUAUACCACAUUUAACUCAACAAGACUUUUACACAACCAAAGAUUACUCCAAACGUUUAUAUGCAUGUCGCAAUCCUUGACUCAAAUGAUAAAAAAAACACCAAAUUGACAAUAAAAUAGUGUAAGCUUUGAACGAUCCAAUCGACAUGUUCCACAAUGUAACACCUAAAAGGAAAAAGAAAACAAUGGGGUAAGCAUAUAAGAUGCUUAGUAAACUCAUAUGUAAUCUAAAACUUACCUAGAUUAAUUGAACAUAAACAAUUACUCAAUAAGCUAUCAAAUUUAUUUUUCCAUGGCACGUAGAUAUCGUAUAUGUAACAACAUUUCAAGUCGAAAAUGUUAAAUACAAUGUUGAAUCAUUAUGUCUUCUUUUCUUAAGUUUCACUUAUAGAAAUACAAUAUAGGUUCAAGUACAAAUAUAUGUCUCGAUUAAUCUAGAAAGAACUAGACAAAAUUCACAUAUGAUAUAGGCAUAUAAUGAGUGUGAGACUCACACAUCACAAUUGAGAAUAAUGUUAUAGAAAACCUUUGCGUUAAGCAAGAAGCUAAGACCCUAUCGGAGGGAGAAUUUUAUAUCUACAACACUUCUUAAAUUUCAUUAGCUUAAUAAUAGCUAUUCAAAUAUUUAACAUUGUAACCAUGCUUCUUUUCAUAUAGUAAUUGCAUUUGUUAUUCUACCCAACUUAUGAAAAAUCUCAAAUUUGCAAUUUAUUAUUCACAUGCCAAACAACCAAUUUAUUAUUCCAACCAACCAAUUUAUUAUUCACGUGCCAACCAAUUUGUUUUAUCGAAGUUAUUAUACUUAUAAGCUUUCACAUAUAACCAUGCUUCUUUACAUAUAUUAAUUGCAUUUAUUGUUGUACCUCAUGAAAAUUUUCAAAUUUGCAACAACAUAUUAUUCGCAUGCCAACCAACCACUUUUUUUUAUUGAAGUUAUUAUACUUAUAAGCAUUCACAUUUAACCAUGCUUCUUGUAACACUUUUCAUUGGAUCCAAUCGUUGGGUCCGAUCUACAAGACGCUAUAGUCAUUGUCAAAGCAACUACAGUCGAAAUUACGAUAAGAUAAUUUUCAUUUAAACAUUAAGCAAGAUUCAACUACAGUAAUACAUUAAUUAUGAGUUUUAAUCGAGCUUACAAAAGCUUUUUUGGUAGUUCGAACAAGAAUUAGGACCAAACUAUAAAGAUUUGAAAAGUUUGGAGCGACGUCACAACUUCAGCUUUUCCUCAUCGCAACAUGACCAUCUCAGUAUGUCACAUCAUAUCGAAAAGCCUAUGCUCGUCGUGGCGAGACUCUUUGACUUGGCAAUGUCGCAAUGUCAAAAUUUGUAGCCGUUAUGUAAACCCUAUAUUUGACAAAAAUAUACAAUUUGGUACCUAAAUCAAAGCUCCAACUAAAAUCAUGCAAGAAAAAUACAUUACAUGCCAUUUCUAAAUGACUUAAAACUUACCUAAAACAUGCUAAGUAAGUUCAAACAUAUCAUUUCAAUUCCAUAGAAAUUCAUAAAACUUACCUAAAACAUGCUAAGUAAGUUCAAACAUAUCAUUUCAAUUCCAUAGCAAUUCAUAUUACCAUUUCAUCCAUUGUAUUCAACUUUUCAAUAACUUUAACUAAAUAUCAACAAGUUAUACAAACAUCUACCAUUACCUUUAUCAUGCCAUAAUGAAUCAUUUCAUUUCAAACAAUCAUCACAUUAGUUCUUUAAUUUUUCUUUUUUAGUCAACAUAUGCAAACCAACUUAAAUAGAUCACAUUCCAACUUUCCAAAUGCAUCAAAUAUUUCAUAUUCAUGUACUAACAAAGAUCAUGCCAAGAACCCACAUGCAAAGUCAUUAUAUACCAAAUUUAACUCAACAAGACUUUUACACAACCAAAGAUUACUCCAAAUGUUUAUAUGCAUGUCGCAAUCCUUGACUCAAAUGAUAAAAAAAAACUACCAAUUUGACGAUAAAAUAGUUUAAGCUUAAAACGAUCCAACUGACGUGUUUUUUUUUUUGCUCAAUCAAGAUAUUAUAGCUUUCAGCAUUUGUAGAAAUGCUAGCAUUCUACAAAUACAAGAUAACCCUUUCCCAAGAUCAGCAAACCGAGCACAAUCAAGUUGAGCCGACGUGUUCUGCAAGGUAACAACCUAAAAGAAAAAAAGAAACAACGGGAUACGCAUAUGAUAUGUUUAGUAAGCUCAUAUGGAAACUAAAACUUACCUAGAUCAAUUGAACAUAAAAAAUUACUCAAUAAGCUAUUGAAUUAAUUUUUCCUUGGCACUUAUAUACAUAUAGUACAUGUAACAACAUUUCUGUUAAAGAAAAGUAAUUUGACUUUUUUUCUGAAAAGUUAAUGGCUAAAUUUAGCUCAAAUAAAAAAGAAAAAACAAAAGCCAAUUUGGCAGAAAAUAUAAAUAUUGAGGAUAAAAUUUAUCAUUAUGUCUUUUUUUUUUAAGUAAUUAUUUGUGGUGGGCCAUCAUGUUUGACAAUGAUUUUUAAAUACUGUGUUAAUUGUAUAUAGCACAUCAUGUUUGACAAUAAUUUUUAAAGACUUUUAAACAUCGCGUUAAUUGUUUAUGGCCCAUUGCCCAUAUUGCUUUUAUUAAAUUUUGGGUAAACUUCAAGUUAAUCAUUUAAUUUUUAUAAAAUUUCACUUUGGUGAAAAAAAAAUUGUAUGGGAUGGGAGUCUCAGGAUAAAACAAAAAUUAGGAUAAAUGUAAUGCUGAAAUGAAUAUACUGGGAAUCUUUAAUGUUUAUGGCCAAACCCCACCUCUCCUAUCCUAUACUUCAUCUAUAAUAAUGGUUCUUGGCUUCUUCUAUUCUAUACCUCAAUUAUUUGGAUUAGAUUGAAAAACAAUUGACACUUGAUUUGAUUGUGAAAGAAGUUUUAGUUUAAUGAUAUGAUUGAGUUAAAAUUUAAAUUUAUAAUAUUUAACUUGAGUGUGAGUGAAUUUUUGACUUAAUUCAAAAUUUAAAAUAAUAAGUUCGAGUUUUAUUUAAUUAUGUGUGUAUAUCAUGUAUAAAUUUUAUUUAAAUUUAUUUUGAUUUAAUUCUCAUACUAUAUAUUCUUAAUUAAAUUCGGAAUAUAUUUUAAUUAUCAAUUUAAUUAUACAUUAUAACGAUGGAUUUGGAUAACAAAAUUCAGUUUACAAAAAGACAAAGUAAAGAACACUUACUUCGGUUGAUGUAUGGUAUAAUAAGUCUGCAAAGCACUAAGAGUAAGUGCAGCAAGGGCACCCAAAAAUGCCAAAAACGUCCAAGGCCUCCUAAAAUAAGUAUGAUAACCUUGAGCUGCAUGAUUAAUCCACAUAGUCUUACAAUGAUUAUGUAUUUUCUCUUUAACCCCACUGUAAAUCAUCUGACUAGGAACUAAAUCAGUGUUCAUCUUAUUGAAAAGUUUAGCCACCACUUCAUCACUCCCCAAUCUAUUGUAUAGUAUACCGGCGUCUCUUAGGUCUUUAACAUCUUCGGCUUCAUCGAUCAAUAAAUCAAGGAAACACAUAUAAGAAGUGACGGUGAAAUCGUUGUCGAAAUCCGGACACAUUUCGUAAGCUAUUAAGUUCAUGGUUGAAUCAUCAACGGUGAUUGGCGAUAACCGUAAUUUUCCAAAGAAGAUAUGGUUGAAACUGAUGUCGGUUAAACAACUUGUUUUGCUGCCUUUUAACAGUAUCCCGGCCUUUUUAAGCUCUUUUACGUUACCAAUGGUGUGUGAAUGGUGCCGUUUUGUUCUUGCUUCGUUGCUAGAUCCGUGUUCAGUGAUUGACCACAAACGGCACCACCACGGUUUUCCUUUUCCUACAAGGAGUCUUACUCGUAGUACAUUCAAUAAGUGAAUUCGCUCUCCUUGGUGCAGCUCCCACCACCAUUCACUACACCAAAAUCUGUGUUAGUCGGAAGCCAAGUUAUAAUUUAUCUUUUCAUUUUUUUCUUUUUGUUUGGAUUUGCAAUUGUUAAUUUUCAUGAAGCUAAAAUUAAUAUUUUCAAAAUAGAUAAUUCAACGAUUAAGUUAUUGAUUUAUAAAUUUCAAUUUAUUUGAUUUAAUUAAAUAAAUUAUUAAAAAUUUCGAUUCAAUAACACGGUUUAAAUAAAAAUUUUUACUCUAUUCAUAUAAAUUUUUAAAUCGGCCCGUCUAAUGACUUUCUCCUAAUUGAUGUCUCAAUUAAUUUUCAAUCCAAAUCGAUAUUAGCUAAAAUACAAUUUUUUAUUAUUGUAUUAAUGCAAAAAUCUUACCAUUUUUAAGAUAUUAAACUUUUCCAUUUUGGAAAGUUGGAUUUGAAAUCAUAAUUUUUCAUUUCUAAAUAAUGUACACUCAACAGGAUAAAUGCAAACCGACAGGCAGGGGUCGUUCCCAAGAAAUAAAAAUUUACACUUUAAUCCCUUUAAAAAUUAUUAAAUUAUAAUAAGUCAUCAAAUUAAAAAGAAAAAAAUUUAAGGAUCAGACUAUACUUGUUAAUCAGGUUAGUUAGAUAAAAAAUCGAGUAAAAUUAGAAUUAGACUAAUUGAAUCAAAGAAUCGAAUCACUUUUUUUAUAUUUUUAAUAAUUUCAAAAAAUUAUAUAAUUAAACUGAAUCAACUUAUAAUCCAGAAAAGAGAGUCUAAUAUUUUUAAUAAUUUCAAAGAUUCCAUCACCCAUCUAGUUAUAAAAACCUUUUAACAUUUAUAAACUCCACAAAAAUGAUUCUUUAAUUCCGUAAAUUGGCACAAGAUGCGCCCCAUGGAGGUCUAUCGAUUAGAUGGGGGACAUUUAGCCCACAAGAACUGGCCUGAUUCGGAGAGCUACUAAAGAAGCCUAUCAGAUUAAAGCCUGGUUGGCCCAAUGAUGAAGACAUGACAACUUAGGCAAUUUUGGUAACUAAUCUUAGAAGAUAGAAUAGAAUCAUAUCUUGUAAGAUUAGAUUAGAUUUGAUAUGGCAAAUCUUGUAAAUCCCUAAAAUCAAGGGAUAUAGUGAAUCUCAUCCGUCGAUGUACAUGUAUCUUGAUCGUCGGUUCUGGGGGAGCUCAACUAUAAAUAGAGAGCCUCCCCCUCACUUGUAAAUCAUCCAUUGUAGCUUGAAUUCUUAAGAGUAAUAGAAUUCUUGAGCAUUUACUCAAACACUUUGUGAGCUUUCUUUCUUUAGCUUUCUGUUGUUCUCUUGUGGCUUCUUUUGGCACAAUCGCUUCCGCUAUACAAAUUGGUGCCUUGGAGGAGUUCUAAAAGAAUCCUCUCUUUUGGGAGUUAAGGCUGACUUGGGCAAGUUUGGAUGAACGGAUCGCCUAAGGCCGUACGGAUUGCGAGACGAAAGGUCUAGCCCCGUGACAAGUGGUAUCCGAGCCAAGUUUUGAACCAAGUUAUAUUCGAGUGGUUCGAAGGCACUGUUGGGAUGUCGAAAGAAGUCGUCGGUCAGAGUGAACCAAUGGAGACCCGUGGGAGGGCUAGAAAAGCCAAUCACUCGAGGGAAAUGCUGACAGCUUUGGAGAACCGAGUGGUCAAUCUCGAGGAAUCCGUAGGAAAUGUGAAAGAGACGCUUGAAUUGGUCGAGGGACGCACAGAUGGGUUGGACUCAAUGGAGGAGCAACUCAGAGAUUUUGUGUUGGAUUCUCUUGGUGCAAAUAGGGAAAAGAUAACGGAAUUACUCGAGUCCACUGAGGUAAAGCUAGCAGAGAGGGAUGAAGCUCUCGAGGAUAUGGUGCUAGCCAUGCAAAAAGAAAUGGAGGAGCUUAAGGGGGAGCUCACGAUCUACAAAGCCGCUUUGAGUAAUGGGAUGUUGUCUUCAAGGCCGAAGCAACAAGCAAUGGAUGUGAAUCAAAAUUGGGAUGCUGAUGAUGAUCGUGGAAGGACACAGGAACGACAUCCUCGUGAUAAAUUUAAGGGUAGAUUGAAGUCUUCAAAUAGAGGUAAAACUUGUAACUUCUGCAAAAAGAAAAGACACGUUAAAUCUGAGUACUAUAAGCUACAUAACAAUAUCAAAAGGGGGGCUGUGAAUCAAAAUGGAAAACAACUAGAAAAUUUUGGUAAAGUUGAUGUUGUAGAAAACUACAACGAUGGUGAACUUCUAGUUGCUUCUGCCAACAAUUCUAAAGUUAGCGAGGAGUGGAUCCUUGAUUCGGGCUGCACCUUCCACAUAAGUCCCAAUUGGGAUUGGUUUACAACUUACAAAACAGUGUUUGAAGGUGUUGUUUUAAUGGGAAAUAAUACUUUAUGUUGAAUCAUAGGUGUUGGAAGAAUUAAAGUUAAGAUGUUUGAUGGAGUUGUCAGAACACUUAGUGACGUACGACAUGUUCCAAAAUUUAAGAGAAAUUUAAUUUCGUUGAGUACUCUUGACUCAAAAGGGUACAAAUAUACAGCUAGAAGUGGGGUUUUGAAGAUUUCCACAGGUUCCCUCGUUGUGAUGAAUGGGUAGAGAAAGACUACCAAGUUAUAUGUUUUGCAGGGUUUUACUGUUACUGGUGAUGCAACUGUCGCAUCCUCUUCUUUGUCAAAUGAUGAUAUUACUAAACUAUGGCAUAUGUACCUAGGGCAUAUGAGUAAGAAUGACAUGGUAGAAUUGAGCAAAAGAGGACUUCUUAAUGGGCAAGGAAUUUGCAAACUGAAAUUCUGUGAGCACUGCAUUUUUUGGAAGCAAAAGAGAGUUCGAUUCACUAGAGGAAUCCAUAACAUGAAAGGAAUGUUAGAGUAUAUUCAUUUUGAUUUUUGGGGGCCAUCUAGAGUGCAUUCGAGAGGUGGAGCUAAUUAUAUGCUAACUUUUAUUGAUGAUUUUUCCAGAAAAGUGUGGGUGUUCUACCUGAAGCAGAAAAGCGAUGUGUUUUUCACUUUUGAGUCUUGGAAAACUAUAAUUGAAAAACAGACGAGAAAACAAAUAAAAUACCUCCGCACAGAUAAUGGCUUAGAGUUCUAAUCUGAUGAGUUUAAUAAACUGUGUAAGUCAGAAGGGAUAGUGAGACACUUGACAGUUCGUCAUACUCCACAGUAAAAUGGUGUUGCAAAAUGAAUGAACAAAACUAUCAUGGAGAAGGUUCGAUAUAUGUUGUCAAAUGCCAACUUACCAAAGUCAUUUUGGGCCGAAGCAGCCUCUACUACAUGUUUUUUAAUCAACUGAUCUCCAUCUGUUGCCAUUAAGAAAAAGACUCCACAAUAGGUAUGGUUUGGUAUUCUUGCUAACUAUUCUGAUUUAAAGAUUUUUAGGUGUCCUGCAUAUGCUCAUGUUGAUAAUGGAAAAUUGGAAUCGAGAUUCAUUAAAUGUAUUUUUCUUGGUUAUAAAGCUGGUGUAAAAAGGUAUAAGUUAUGGUGUCCUGAAAAUAGAAAAGUUGUGAUUAGCAAAGAUGUUGUUUUUGAUGAAACUGCUAUGCUACCUAACUUAUCUCUUAAAGACUCUUCCAAUAAAAAAAAAUCAAAAGCAGGUGGAGCAUCAGAUUAAUCCAGAACCCACAACAGAGUCAACUCCUCAAGCCAGUACAAAAAUUCAAAAUAGAGUUGCUUCUUCACCAUAAUACUCAAUCGCCAAAAACAAAACUAGAAGAGAAAUUAAACCUUCAAAGAAGUAUGCCGAGGCUGAUUUAGUUGCUUAUGCUUUAAAUGUGGCUGAAGAUAUAGAUGCAAACUAAGAGCCAUCUAAUUAUUCUGAUGCUUAUGCUUUAAAUGUGACUGAAGAUAUAGAUGCUUUAAAUUUCGGGAGUGGACUUCACAGAUAUGUUUUCUCCAGUUGUGAAGUAUAGGUCUAUUCGAGCUUUUGUUGGUAUUGUGGCAAUGCAUGAUUUGGAGUUUUUACGUGUAAAAACUGCUAAUUUAUUUUCGUCCCCAAAACAUUUUUGGCUUAUACCUUGAAUGUGGAUCAAAAAAGAAAGUCUAGAGACUGAUAAGUGCUAAAAGUAACAUGUUUUAAUCUCAUUUUUAGUGUGUUUUUGGAUAAUUAUUCGAUUUAAAAUGGUGAAAUUUAUGCUCCUAAUCCUUUAAUUUAUGUUUCUAUACUUAGGAAAGGAUUUGGGAGCAAAAGGAACGAAAAUCGAAAAAUUGGAGCAAGUUUCAAGAGACAACUGGUUGGGCCAUUCUACAUGGCCAGGACACACGGCCGUGUGAGCUACACAGGCUUCCACACAGCCAAAUGCCAGACCAUGUGCAAAUCACAAAUCGCACUCCAAACCUACAGGAAAGCACAUUUUUUUAGGUAAGCAUAUUUUAUAGGUUUUUCAGGCAUUCUAAGACUUAUAUAUGAAAAAAAUAAGAAGAUGGGAGGGAACCGCCAUAGAAUAUUGAAGAAACAAAACUCAAAAAACACCAUUAAAGCUGACUCUGAAGCAGAUUUUCAUCAAGAUUGAAGAUCUCCUUUUGAUUUCUUUGAAGUUUAUUAUGAGUUCCUUUAUUUCUUGUGGUUAUCCUGUUUUUAGGAUGUUUUUAUUUGCUAUCAUGAACUAAUUUUCUAAAUACCUAUAGAGAUGAACCCUAGGAUGGAUUCUGUUAUUUGAUUUCUAUUUUUAUGCAAUAAAUACUUGAAUCUUGUUCUAAAUUUUGAGUGUUUAACUAUUGGUUUAAUAUUUCUAGGCUACUAGUCCAUGUUUGAUGUGCUUAAAUCAGAGGAUGGAUAGACCUAUUUAAGAGUAGAUCUAGCGUAAUUGAGUGAAGUUGCAUACAAUCUUAGAAAUAGGAUGGCAUAAAUAUACCAUAUUAGAGUCAAAUCUAAUAGGGGGAUCCAUAGAUCGAAUUAAUGUGAUAAUAGGAGUUUUAAUUAAAAAGAAAUUUCAAUUAAUCAGCCUAGAGUCAGUUGCUCUUAGUCUUGAAGAGAGAUAUUAUAAUAUUUAGGGAUUUCUAUGGAUCAAGCUACUAGUACUUUUACUAUGAAUCUCUUAGAAAAGAGUUGAAUUAAUAUUUUUUAACAAAAUAGUGACUGAAAUAUUAAAUUUUAAACAUGAUAACUCAUAUGACAAUCUACGUGUAUAUGUUUUCUUAUUUUAAAAUUAUUUGUUGACGUGGUAUAUAAGAAAAGUCAUGUUAUGUUAGCAUGAAAUGCACAUGGAUUGUCACACGAGUUGUAACACGAGCACUGUUAAAAAUUUAAUGUUUUAGUCAAUAUUUAUGUUAAAGAAAAGUAAGUUGACUAUUUUUUGAAAGGUUAAUGGCUAAAUUUAACUCAAAAUAAUAAUAAUAAAGAAUAGAGACUAAUUUCACAAAAAAUGUAAAUGUCAAAGGCUAAAUUUAAAAUUCUUAAAUGAUGACAUGACAUAAUCUCAAAGUGUCACGCUAUCACUCUUUGAUAGAAUUCAAGUUCAUGGACUAAAUCAAAAAAAAAUUGUUAAGUUCUGUUAUUAACCAUUUCUUUGUUCUUCAUUUUUUUCCUUUUGCUUUUUAGGUUCCAUAAUAAAAAAAUGGAUGGGAAAUUUCUAAAAUCAUUAGAAACAAGAAAAUAUGAUCUCAAAUCCAAUAAAUUACCCAAUCAAGUUACAGAGACUUAGGACCUGGCUAUGGGUGAAUUCAUCCCCUACAUUUUAGUAGGCACAGGUGGAUUUCAAGAACACAAAUAAUUAAAUUGGCUAAAUUUAUUCAUAUCCACCAAAUUAUUGGAAUUUUCAAAUAUAUUCAAAAAAUUAGAAGAGACAUUGGAUGAAACCACAAACAAAAUCAAAUUGAAAGAAAAGCAAAAUGACAUGGAAGGAGUAAAAGAAAAUAUGACUAAAUUGCCUGAAAAAUUAGCACGUAUGUUAAGCAACAUUAAUGAUAAAACACAUAGGAUACAACAACUACAUAUUUUUCACAUGCCAACCAACCAAUUUAUUUUUGUCCUUUUUGGUGUAAUUAAGGUAAAAUGAAUUUAAUUAUCUUUCAUAGAGUAAAUAAUCUUACCAACCAACCAACAACCAAUUUAUUAUUCACAUGCCAACCAACCUAUCUAUUUUUGUCCUUUUUGGUGUAAUUAAGGUAAAAUAAUCAGAUCCUAAGAGAUUGUUUGCAAGUCAAGUUAAACAAAAUAUAUCUUCUUUCUAGAAGAUUUAGUAUUUAUGAGUAUAAUAUAUUUAGCAUUUAUUAGCAUAAUAUAUUUGACUUUGAUUAGAAUUAGAUUUUUUUCAACCUAUAAAAGAUAUAAUCGAAACUCCUCUUGAAAUCAUUCGAAUUCGACAUAGUGAAUUUUCUUUUCCUCUGCCGGUGGUUUUUUACCCGAACGGGUUUCGACGUAAAAAUUUGUGUGCUUUUUAUUUUAUUUUUCUUUUCUUUGUGAUAUAUUAUCAUUGCUGACGUUCUAUUUUUUACAAAUUGGUAUCCGAGCUUCCAGGUUGUUCAUCUCAAUCAUGGUAAUGGCGUCUUUAAAGUUUGAAAUUUCACUGUUGGAUCGCAACACUAGAUUUGUGUUGUGGCAGAUAAAGAUGCAAGUAGUUCUUGCACAGAUGGACUUAGAGGAAGCCUUGCUGUGGUAGAUAAGAUGCCUUCAACAUUGACGGUGGAAGAGAAGAAGCGCAAGGAUCGAAAGGCGUUAACACAGUUACAUCUGCAUUUGUCUAACGAAAUUUUACAGGAUGUGAUAAAUGAGAAGACCGCCGCUGGAUUAUGGAAGAGGUUGGAACAAAUAUGUAUGUCGAAAACUCUAACUAGCAAGCUGCAUAUGGAGCAGCGUCUUUAUGCUCAUUGUUUGGAGGAAGGUGUAUCUGUGCAUGAACACUUAACAGUGUUUAAAGAAAUUCUCUCAAGCUUGGAGGCCAUGGAGAUUUAGUAUGAUAGGGAAGAUCUAAGGUUGAUUCUACUUUAUUCGUUGACCCCGUCUUAUUCAACCUUUAGAGAUAUGAUUUUAUAUAACCGCUAGUCUCUCACAGUUGAUAAGGUUUAUGAUUCUUUAACCUCGUAUCAUAAGAUUAAGUAUCUUGUUGUUAAAAUCAACUCUUAGGGAGAGGGUCUCAUGGUUCGUGAGAGACACAAUCGGGAUGUUGAUGAUGAUCGUGGAAGGACACAGGAAUGACAUCCUCGUGAUAAAUUUAAGGGUAGAUUGAAGUCUUCAAAUAGAUGUAAAACUUGUAACUUCUGCAAAAAGAAAAGACACGUUAAAUCUGAGUACUAUAAGUUACAUAACAAUAUCAAAAGGGGGGUUGUGAAUCAAAAUGGAAAACAACUAGAAAAUUUUGGUAAAGCUGAUGUUGUAGAAAACUACAACGAUGGUGAACUUCUAGUCGCUUCUGCCAACAAUUCUAAAGUUAGCGAGGAGUGGAUCCUUGAUUCGGGCUGCACCUUCCACAUAAGUCCCAAUUGGGAUUGGUUUACAACUUACGAAACAGUGUUUGAAGGUGUUGUUUUAAUGGGAAAUAAUACUUUAUGUUGAAUCAUAGGUAUUGGAAGAAUUAAAGUUAAGAUGUUUGAUGGAGUUGUCAGAACACUUAGUGACGUACGACAUGUUCCAAAAUUUAAGAGAAAUUUAAUUUCGUUGAGUACUCUUGACUCAAAAGGGUACAAAUACACAGCUAGAAGUGGGGUUUUGAAGAUUUCCACAGGUUCCCUCGUUGUGAUGAAUGGGUAGAGAAAGACUACCAAGUUAUAUGUUUUGCAGGGUUUUACUGUUACUGGUGAUGCAACUGUCGCAUCCUCUUCUUUGUCAAAUGAUGAUAUUACUAAACUAUGGCAUAUGUACCUAGGGCAUAUGAGUAAGAAUGACAUGGUAGAAUUGAGCAAAAGAGGACUUCUUGAUGGGCAAGGAAUUUGCAAACUGAAAUUCUGUGAGCACUGCAUUUUUUGGAAGCAAAAGAGAGUUCGAUUCACUAGAGGAAUCCAUAACAUGAAAAGAACGUUAGAGUAUAUUCAUUUUGAUUUGUGGGGGCCAUCUAGAGUGCCUUCGAGAGGUGGAGCUAAUUAUAUGCUAGUUUUUAUUAAUGAUUUUUCCAGAAAAGUGUGGGCGUUCUACCUGAAGCAGAAAAGCGAUGUAUUUUCGCUUUUGAGUCUUGGAAAACUAUGAUUAAAAAACAAAAGGAAAACAAAUAAAAUACCUCUGCUCAGAUAAUGGUUAGAGUUCUGCUCUGAUGAGUUUAAUAAACUGUGCAAGUCAGAAGGGAUAGUGAGACACUUGACAGUUCGUUAUACUCCACAGUAAAAUGCUGUUGCAGGAUGAAUGAACAAAACUAUCAUGGAGAAGGUUCGAUAUAUGUCGUCAAAUGCCAACUUACCAAAGUCAUUUUGGGCUGAAGCAGCCUCUACUACAUGUUUUUUAAUCAACCGAUCUCCAUCCGUUGCCAUUAAGAAAAAGACUCCACAAUAGGUAUGGUCUGGUAAUCUUGCUAACUAUUCUUAUUUAAAUAUUUUUGGGUGUCCUGUAUAUGCUCAUGUUGAUAAUGAAAAAUUGGAAUCGAGAUUCAUUAAAUUUAUUUUUCUUGGUUAUAAAGCUGGUGUAAAAAGGUAUAAGUUAUGGUGUCCUGAAAAUAGAACAGUUGUGAUUAGCAAAGAUGUUGUUUUUUUAUGAAACUGCUAUGCUACCUAACUUAUCUCUUAAAGACUCUUCCAAUAAAAAAAAUCAAAAACAGGUGGAGCAUCAGAUUAAUUUAGAAUCCACAACAAAGUCGACUCCUCAAGCCAGUACAAAAAUUCAAAAUAGAGUUGCUUCUUCACCAUAAUACUCUAUCGCCAAAAACAAAACUAGAAAAGAAAUUAAACCUCUAAAGAAGUAUGUCGAAGGCUGAUCUAGUUACUUAUUCUUUAAAUGUGACUGAAGAUAUAGAUGCAAACCAAGAGCCAUCUAAUUAUUCUGAUACGAUUAGCUUGAAGACUCAGAAAAGUGGAUGUUUGUUAUGUAAGAGGAGAUGAAAUCACUCCACAAAAAUCAAACAUUGGAUCUUAUGAAACUUUCUAAAAAUAAAAAGGUUGUUCGUUGUAAAUGGGUGUUUAAAAAGAAAGAGGGGACUCUAGGAGUUGAAGAACCCAGAUAUAAAGCAAGGCUUGUUGCAAAGGGUUAUAGUCAAAUUUCGGGAGUGGACUUCACAGAUAUGUUCUCUCCAGUUGUGAAGCAUAGGUCUAUUCGAGCUUUGCUUGGUAUUGUGGCAUUGCAUGAUUUCUUAAGCAGUUAGAUGUAAAAACUGCAUUUUUACAUGGAGAAUUUGAGGAGGAUAUUUACAUGCAACAACCAGAGGGUUUUACAAUCUCAGAAAAAGAGGACUAUGUUUGCUUGCUGAAACAGUCCAUUUACGAUUUGAAACAGUCAUCAAGACAGUGGUAAAAGAGGUUUGAUUCCUUUAUGACUUCUUAUGAUUUUAAAAGAAGUAGCUUUGAUAGUUGUGUUUACUUUAAGAAAAACAGUGAUGGUUCUUUUGUUUAUCUACUCCUUUAUGUUGAUGACAUGUUGAUAGUAGCGAAAGAUAAAUGAGAGAUAAGAAAUGUCAAAUUCUAAUUAAGUGAAGAAUUUGAGAUGAAAUAUUUGGGACUAGCAAAGAAGAUAUUUGGCAUGGAGAUUCUUAGAGAUAGAAAAGCAAGUAAAUUGUACCUAAGUCAGAAGGGGUAUAUUGAGAAAGUUCUUUGCAGAUUCAAUAUGCAGAAUACUAAGCCUGUUAGUACUCUUUUAGCAGCCCAUUUUAGAGUUUUAUCGACUUUGUCUCCACAAUCAGAUGAUGAGAUUGAGUACAUGUCACAUGUUCCAUACUCUAGUGUAAUGGGAUCUCUCAAGUAUGCUAUAGUUUGUCCACGUGUAGAUUUAUCAUAUGCAGUCAGUGCAGUUAGUAGAUACAUGGCGAAUCCCGAUAAAGAACAUUAGAAAGCAGUUCAGUGGAUUUUAAGAUACUUACGAGGUACUACUGAUAUUUGCUUAUAGUUUGGAAGAACUAGAGAUGGAGACAUUGGGUAUGUUGAUACUGAUUUUGCUGGAGACCUUGAUAGAAGAAGAUCUCUCACAGGUUAUGUAUUUACAAUCGAAGGUUGUGCAAUCAGUUGGAAAGCCACUUUGCAACCCACAGUUGCUUUGUCUACCAUUGAAGCUGAGUACAUGACGAUUACUGAUACUUGUAAAGAAGCUAUUUGGUUGAAGGGACUUUUUAGUGAACUCAAUGAAAACCUUCAAAUCAGUACAGUAUUUUGUGACAGUUAAAGUGCCAUCUUCCUUACAAAAGAUCAAAUGUUUCGUGAGAAAACAAAACACAUCGAUGUUCGGUAUUAUUUUGUUCGUGUUAUUAUUGCUCGUGUUGAAAUUGUUGUGACCACAAUUAGUACUCAUGAAAAUCCUACAGAGAUGAUGACUAAGUCAUUUCUUAUAACCAAUUUUGAGCAUUGCUUAGACUUGAUUGGUGUUCAUUGUUGAAAUUAAACCCUUAAGGGGUUUUAUGGAAGAGGUGGAGAACUUGUUCGUUGAGAGUUCGCGAUAAAGAACUUGUUCAUUGAGAAUUCGUGUCAAGGUGGAGAUUGUUAGAGUUUUGUGACCCAAAUUCUAAAAGAUUGCUUGCAAGUCAAGUUAAACAAAAUAUAUCUUCUUUCUAGAAAUUUUAGUAUUUAUGAGUAUAAUAUAUUUAGCAUUUAUUAGCAUAAUAUAUUCGACUUUGAUUAGAAUUAAGUUUUUUUCAACCUAUAAAUAGAUGUAGUUGAAACUCCUCUUGAAAUCAUUCGAAUUCGACAUAAUGAAUUUUCUUCUCCUCUGCCCAUGGUUUUUUUCCCGCAAGGGUUUCCACGUAAAAAUCUGUGUUCUUUAUUUUAUUUCUCUUUUCUUUGUGAUAUAUUGUCAUUGCCAAUGUUUUAUUUUUAACACAUAGAUUAAAUAAUCUUACCAACCAACCAAUUUAUUUUUGUCCUUUUUGGUGGGCUUUCGAGUCUACAAGACAGGUAGCAAUAGUUAUUGAGGAGCUAGUCACGUUUUAAAUAUUUUCUUCUAAGUAAGCACAACAACAUUAAGAAAUUUAUUUUUUAGAGUCUAUAUAAGGAAAAGGGCCUUAGGAUUUUCUAGUGCCACACUCACUUCAACAACAGACACUUCAAAUUUUCAAGCAUACAACAGCAGCAGCAGCCAGCGAACUAAUCAAUUGUUUUUAAGUACUAAUAUUUAGGGAUAAAGUAAUAGUUAAUUAUCUGAAUAUUUUAUAAUAGGGACGAAGUUAUAAAAGAAGUUGAAUUAGAUAUCUUUAUACAAGUUAAAAUACAAUUUAAUCAUAUUGGUUUGUAAUUUUACAUAUUUUAAAGGGAUUAGAUCAAAAUUUUAUCAUUUUGGAGGUUGAGAUGAAAUUUUACCGUGUAUUAACAUGUAAAAUUAUAACUUUUAAAGGCACCCAAAACAUAAAUUUCCAUUUUAGGUGGCCGAAGCCUUGGUUAUUUAUCUACUUUGAUCUUUGAACUUCUUUUUGUCUAAAUUAAUUCGAAAAUUUGAUAGUUUUUCCUAGUUUAGUCCUUGAACCUUGGGUUAUGCUACAUCAUCACUUGUAUUUUUUAUUAAAAAUAAUAAUAAUUUCUUUUUCAUUCUUUUUAGAUUUUAUUUAAGUUUUUUAAAAUUUUCAAAUGAUGACGUGACAAAAUCUUAAAGUGGCAUGCUAUCGCUCUUUAACGGAAUCCAAGUCCAUGGACUAAAUAAAAAAAUUGUUAAGUUCAAAGACUAAAUAUUAUUUUAUCCCUAAUAUUAGUUACCCUGUUUUAGAAGUUGAUUGAAUUUCUUGCUUGCUUACUUUUGUUAUUAACCGUUGCUUUGUUCUUCUUCUUCUUCUUCUUUUUAAUUUUAGGUCCCGUAAUUGAAAAAAGAUGCAUGAGAAAUUUCUAAAAUCAUUAGAAACAAGAAAAUAUGAUCUCAAAUCCAGUGAUUUACCCAUAUCAAGUUACAGAGACUUGGGCCCCGGCUAUGGUGAAUUCAUCCCCUACAUUUUAGCAGGCCAAGGUGGACUUCAAGAACACAAACAAUUAAAUUGGCUAAAUUUAUUCGUAUCCGCCAACUUAUUAGAAUUUUCAAAUAUAUUCAAAAAAUUAGGAGAAACAUUGGAUGAAACCACGACGGAAAUCACAAACAGGAUCAAAUUGAAAGAGAAGGAAAAUGACAUGGAAGGGAUAAAUGAAGAGAUGGCUAAAUUGCCUAAAAAUUUAGCACGUGUGUUAAGCAACAUUGAUGAUAAACCAUAUAGGAUACAACAUAUGGAGUGUAGCUUGGAAAAGAACAUGUAUAAGAUCAAUAAGGAUCAAAUUAAAAUUAUGAAAGAAUUGAGGGACUUGAAAAGGGAAAUAAAAGAGUUAAAGGAGGAUGUGAAAGAAGUUAAAAUAAAAAUUGAAAUUUUUAAAAAUUUCAAAAGUUUUCUUUGAUUUCUUAAAAUUUUUUAUUAAAUCUCUUAAAUUUUAUUUUCAAAAAAAAGAAUUUCAUUAAACACCAAAAAUGAAAUAGAUUGAAUCCAACAUCCAUGAGUUACAAAAUUAUCAUAUAUAACAAGAGCUUACAAAAAGACUAGUGUUACGGAAAAUGGCUUACGGAAAAUGACUUACUUUUCUGAAAAAGCUAAUAUUUUCUAGUGUUUGGAUAAAUCUGUGUAAAAUAUUUUCUUUUGUUUGGAGGUUCUUUAAAAAUAUUUUAUAAAAGUCAUUUUCAAUUAAACAAACAUACAUUUGAGAUUUUUUUUAUUUUUUUAUUUUUUCAUUGUUUAAUUGAGUUUAUUUUAUACCUAUAAUUUUAUAUUGUACAUUGUUUUUACAUAUAUUAAAAAUAUUUUGUUAAAUUUAGGUUCAUUGCAACAAUCAUUUUUUAGUUACAUGACUACCAAUUGAGUUUUUUUGUUUAAAAAUGUUACAUUAACAAAAUUGAUAAAAAAAUUAACAAUGUCAGCAGUUGGACUUGAUUUUCAAAUCUAGAAAGGAGAGGGACUAAAUUCUUGAAAAUAAAAGUACAGAAACUAAAUUGCAAAUUUGUGAAGAGUAUAUAAACUUAUGAUAUAUCUUAACAUUUAUACUACAAAACAAUUAUUAUUAAUAUAUUUAUAAUUGUAAUAAAUAUUUAGUAUUAAAGUAUUAAUAUUGAUAUUUUCAAUAAUAUGUGAAUAAUAUUAUUUAAAAUUACUAUUAAAAUAAAAUUUAAAUAUUAAAUAAUUUAUUAAAAAUAAUAAAUUAUAUUAAUAAUUUAUUAUAUGACUAAAUAUAAAUAAUUAAAUACGUAUUUUAAUAAUAUUAAAAAAUAUAAUAUUUUAUAUUAAUAUUUUAAAUAUUUUAAAAAUAAAAAUAAAAUUUAUUAUCAAUAUAAUAAUAUUAAACUUGAUUUAAGUUAAUUUUUAUAUAAAAGUAAAAUUAUCUAUUGAGGAGCUCUUUUCCGGAAAAUGACUUACGCUUUUCAAGAGGAUAAGUAAUUUUACAAGGAAAAAGGCUUAUUUCCAUUGACCUGUAAGUUAUUUUCCGUUGACCAAGCUGUUUUCUGUGAAACAAACACAGGAAAAUGCAGAAAAUAUUUUCCGUAAAACCUUUUACAUGUAAACAAAUGGACCCUUACUUUGGUUGAUGUAUGGUAUAAUAAGUCUGCAAAGCACCAAGCAAAAGUGCAGUAAUGGCACCCACAAAUGCCAAAAACGUCCGAGGACUCCUAAAUUAAGUAUGAUAACCUUGAGCUGCAUGAUUAAUCCACGUAGUCUUACAAUGAUUAUGUAUUUGCCCUUUAACCCUACUGUAAAUCAUCGGACCAGGAACCAAAUCAGUGUUCAUCAUGUAAAUGAUAUAAUGUCCAAAUUGUCUAGUGUUACUUCACAUGGUUGAUUUCAUUUGUGAAUUAAUGAUUGUGGAUUGACAACAUUGACUAUUCUAUGCACGGGGAGUGUAACACCUCAAACCCGGCCUAGACGUUAUGGUCGAAUCCUGGAGUGUUACAAAGAAGGGUUUUGAAAUCAGUGUUACUUCGAUAAAACUUUGUAUAGUCGUUCGAUAAAUCAUCCAAGUUUUAUAAUCCAUAUUCGUUUAUAUAACUAUUACUGAAAGCGUUAUACAAUUAAUUCAUUUGCCAAAACAUAAUUUACAGCGGAAGUCAUUUUCAUAAAUCGUUUUGACAAACCAAACAGGAUAGAAAACAAUCGAAACCAAAACCAACAGUUAAAAUCAUACAGUCCAGAGAGUCCCAAAAAUGACAAACUCUCAAAUAAAUUCAUAAUUUUAAUUAAAACCGUUAGUUAUUAAGUAAAAAUAGUUCUCAAUCGAGUGGUCAUCGCUGAGCCUCUGUCGUACUGACCUGCCGAAGUUUGUGGAUUACCUGAACAGAAUAGACAAAAAGAUGUGAGUUUUCAUAAACUUGGUGUGUAACCCAACAAAAAUAGUCAUGCAGCAUACACAGAAUCUCAUAUACAGUCAGAUACAGAUUCGGACCUAUGUCCAUGACAGAUACAGAUAGCAGAAUCAGAUAAGAAGAAUCAUACCCCCAUCCUCUACACACCAUCUCCGACUAUCCCAUCACACCAUGUGGGGUUAAAAACACCCACCCAACCCUACACACCAUAUAGAGUCAAUGCGACGCAUAACAGAUAAUAUGCAAUCAAUCUGCUAGAAUAAAGGCAAAGAAUCGCCAUACAAAUCACUUCCUCCACAUAUACAAUUCCCACCCCAAACACAGAUACAGAAUACAGAUGCAAAAAUAUCAGAGUAAACAUGCUUAACAUGCUCGUAUACAAAUGGAUACAUACUUAAACAGUACAGUCCGACAUACAUAUAGUAUCCUAAUCAAAUUAGUCUAUCAGAAUAUCAUAGCACAUAAAUUAGGGUUUUGGUUAGCCCUUACUGACCCUACGGCAGGUCCACAGUCGAUCGGAAUGACACCUGUGACCCUAGGGAAUAUUUCAGAAUUAUGGGCCCACAUGCCUAUAUGGGCCCACACGUCCAGAUUGGCCUUACCUGCAUGGGAACAUUAGAAGGUUCAAAAUACAAUUUUAUUAUUAUAUUAAUUUAUAAUUUCAUAAAUUUUAAAAGGAUUAAAUGAUAAAUUUACUAAUUUAAAAAGACAAUAGGGAUGGUAAAAUCUAAUUGAACCUAUCUGCGUUCGGAUCGGGAUGGAUUUUUUUUAAUUUAAAAAAUUAAAUAGAUUGAAUCGAAAAUCUAGGAGUUACAAAAUUCUCAUAAAUAACAAGAGUUUACAAAAAGAACACUUACUUGGUUGAUGUAUGGUAUAAUAAGCUUGCAAUCCACAUAUACAAUUCCCACCCCAAACAUGAAUAUAGAAUACAGAUGCGGGAAUAUCAGAGUAAACAUGCUUAAAAUGCUCGUAUACAGAUGGAUACAUACUUAAAUAGUGCAAUCAAACAUACAUAGGUCCACAAUCUAUUAGAAUAUCAUAGCACAUGGGUCCACAUGCCCGUGUGGGCCCACACGCCCAGAUUGGCGUUGCCCAUGUGGCCCACAUGGCCUGGCCCAAAACCCACACGGCCGUGUGGGCCUACAUGCCCAACUUGGCCUAGCCCGUGCGACCCACAAGGUCACACUCACACAAUCACACGACCAUGUCUUGUGCGCGGCCAUACCUUCGUCAGUCACAUGGCCGUGUCUCGCACAUGGCCAACCACAUGGCUUGGCUCACGCCCUUGUGGCAUUGACAGUGCCCUUUUUUAGCUUUUGUCGAACCUCAAUUUUUCAUGUUUAAGGUACACACAUGGUUCAUUUUAGAUGCCUAGCAAUCCUGAGCCCUCUGAAACCUAAGAAAUAGCAUCCCAUUGACCAAUUAGCAAUCAAUUUACGAAUCGACACUUAACCCGAAAUAACGCACAUAACUUACCGAAGACACGAAUUGGCACGAGCGCGAUCUAGGCUGUCGAAGUAAAAAUUCAUUGCUCACAACCUUCUCCUACACCACAAAUUUGCAGAAAUCAAACCCCCUAUCUAUGCUACUACGCUACCACGAAAAGAAAAUAAACUGAUAGCUUACCCAAAUCACAUAAAAAUGUCAAGUCCAGAGUGCAACGUGAAGAACAAAAGAUGAAAAAACAAGUUUGAAGGAAAAGAAAACGAACGAAAAAAUCAGAGAUUGAAGAGGAGAAAAAGGAAGAAAUGUAAAAGAAUAAAUAAAUAAAUAAAAAGAGUAGAAACUGACGUCAGAAUUUUUAGAGAGAGAGAACCUAAAUUUUGAAAAAUAAAAAUAAAAUAAGAUAAAAACAAUAUCACAACUCCCCCCACUCAAACCAGCAAAUUCAUUCUGAUAUAAUUAAAUUUACAAACAAUAUUCCAUAAACUUGCCUAAUAGGGAUAAGGCUAAGACCAAAAAAAUAACAGAAUUUUCAAAUGUGAGACUUGAAUACUAGACCUCAAACACAUACCGAAAACACUUAGCCACUAAAGUAAAAACAUAUUUAUAUUAGGAUUUACAGAAACAUAUUUAUAUCAAGAUUUACAGAAAUAGAAAUAAAUUAUUCAUGGCGUUACAGAUGGGUAGUACUCCUUUUUCUACCAUUUCACUACCCAUUGCAUUCAAUUUCUCUGCCCUACUACUCCUCUGCACUGCACUGUCCAAUUGCAUUUAAAGAUAAUGUAUACAUAUAGAUUGUAAAUUUUCUUGGCUGGAAGCUCACUGGAAGCCAAAAUCAAAACAAACUUUUGAUGGUUUAAUUGUUUUUUAGCCCUUGAAUUUCAGGUGCUAUGAGAAAUGAAUUACAACCUCAUCUUGUCAUUAUCCCAAAAUCAAAACAAGCAACUCUUGGUUGAAAGUUGAAACCAAGGGCCAAGUCAAAAUUGUUUUAGGACGAGUCCAAAAUGAACAAUGAUUUUGAAGGUUCAAAAUACAAUUUUAUUAUUAUAUUAAUUUAUAAUUUCAUAAAUUUUAAAAGAUUAAAUGAUAAAUUUACUAAUUUAAGAAGACAAUAGGGAUGGUAAAAUCUAAUUGAACCUAUCUGCGUUCGGAUCGGCAUGGAUUUUUUUAAUUUAAAAAAUUAAAUAGAUUGAAUCGAAAAUCUAGGAGUUACCAAAUUCUCAUAAAUAACAAGAGUUUACAAAAAGAACACUUACUUGGUUGAUGUAUGGUAUAAUAAGCCUGCAAAGCACCGAUAGAAAGUGCAGCAAUGGCACCCACAAAUGCGAAAAACGUCCAACGAGUCCUAAAACAAGUAUGAUAAACUUUAGCUGGAUAUUUACUCCACAUAUUCUCACGAUGAUUAUGUAUUUGCAGUUUAACAUGUCAUGUAAAUCAUCGGACUAGGAACCAAAUCAAUGUUCAUCUUCUUGAUAAGCUUAGCCACUUCUUUAUCACUCCCAAAUCUAUGGUAUAGUAUGCCGGCGCCUCUCAGUUCCUUAACAUCUUCGGCUUCAUCGAUCAAUGAAUCAAGGAAACCCAUAUAUGAAGUGACGGUGAAACUGUUGAAGAAAUCCGGACACAUUUCGUAAGCUAUUAAGUUCACUGUUAAAUCAUCGACGGUGAUCGGCGGUAACCAUAAAUUUCCGAGGAAGAAGAAAGGGCUGAAACUGAUGUCUGUUAAACAACUUGUUUCGCUUGCUUUUAACCUUAUCCCGGCUUUUUUAAGCUCUUUUACGUUCCUUAAGGUGUGUGAAUGGUGCCCUUCUAUUCUUGUUUGGUUGCUGCGAUUUUUCAAGUUCAUGAAAAAUCGAGUGCAAAACCUACAAUGCCGCCUUGGUUUUUCUUUUUCUUUUUUCUUUAUUGAAAGGAGUCUUACUCGUAGUAGAUGCAAUAAGUGAAUUCGCUCUCCUUGCUGCGGCCACCAUUCACUACAGCAAAAUCUGUGUUAGUCGGAAGCCAGCUAAAAUUAAGGUUUUCAACAGUUGAAUCUAUAAGAUCAUUGAUUUAUAAGUUCAAUUUAUCCGAUUUGAAUAAAAAAUUUAAUCCUUUUAAAAAUUAUUAAAUUAUAAUUUUUUAUAUAUAAUAAAAUUAUACUUUGACUCCUUAAAAAAUGAAGAAAAAAAUUGUUUAACUCUUUCGGAAAAUGAUAAAAUCAUAAAUUAAUGUAUAAAGAAAAUUUAAGAAUCAAACUAAAUUUAUCGGUGGGCCUGGUUAAACAGAGAAUCGUGCAAGGUAUUAAUCUAGAAUAAUGAGUUAGACUCAUUGAAUCGAGUGGUCGAAUAGAUUUUUUUAUAUUUUUAAUAUAUCUUUAAUAUUUUUAAAAUUUUAUAUAAUUGAAUCCAAUUAACUAAUCAACCAAAAAUAGACUCUAAUCGAUUCUAUCACCUAUUUUACAUUUAUACACUCCACAAAAUGAUUCUUUUGUACAUUCCUUAAAUUACCUGUCCUGCUGAUGUGAUUGUGGCCCUUUAACAGUGACGUCGAUGAACCUUAUGAUUGCCUUCAUGAACUUUUUGCCAUUAUUGCUCAAGCUUGUAAGCAAUUCAAGAACACGAAAAGGUAUUUGGUUCUCCAACAAUAACAGAUCCGAGUACACCAAUGUCAGCAAAUCGUUUUUAAUAACCAAUUGGCCAUAAACAGCAUAAAAAUCAUCAUUAGUACCGUAAUGCAUAUAAAUUAAUUGUAAAAUUGCGCAGCCGUCAACGAAGAACAUCCAAGCCAGUUUCUCGUUAUCGUUGCCAUACUCCUCUAAUUCCGUUGGAUCAUAGCAUUUCCUCAAGCCAUCGAUCUCUUUCUUCAUGUUUCUGUACAAGGAAUCCUUAUCGACGCCAAUGUUUUUGACGAAAUGUGCUGCUAAUUUGAGCUUGAGCUCCUUGGAUUCAUGGAGGGUGGGAUCAUCGUGGUGGAGUGGGCCGAUUGAGAUCACUUUCGGCUUGAAAUACUUCAUGAAAUCUUCGGUACGGCAAAGGGUUGAUGGUACUUUUCGUAUCAAUGGAUUGGCUGUGAAGUUGGGUUGGCCGCCGUCCAAAGCUUUGUCUAAUGACUGGAGAUUCGCUAAUUCGUCAUUGCUGAGAGGGACGUCCGUGCACCGCAUAUCAAUGCUCACGGAAUCGUUGUUGGUGUUGUUGUUGAUGGUUGUUUGAUCAGUGGAAACUGCUCCGACGGCGCCGCCUCCUUCCUCCGUGGACGACAUUUUCAGGGUGAGCGGUUGGAAGUAAUAAACAAGGUGAUUUUGUAAACUGUGCUUGGCUGAGUGAGUGAUGUUGGAGAAAAGGUGGCAAAAUGGCUACGAUGAUGGCAAAUAUUUUAUAGCUUACAUAAUAAACAUAUAUGGGAAAUACUUGAGGUGUAAUUUAAAUUUACCCCUUAGUGUUUAUAUUUUUACUAAUAUAAUUUUUAACUUUUAAUUUUUUAAUUAAAUUUAAUUUUCUUUUGAAAGAGUCAAUCUUAAAAAAGAAAAGUUAAAUUAAUGUUUUUUUAACAAAAAUAGUGACAAAUAUAAUAAUUGUCCUUAAGAAGUAAGACCCUAUGAUUGGGAGAAUUUUACAUUUUCAACACUUCUUAAAUUUCAUACACUUAAAAAUACCUCCAUGCUUCUUUACGUAUAAUAAUUGCAUUUGUUAUUCUACCUAACUCAUGAAAAAUCUCAAAUUUGCAACAAAAUAUUAUUCACAUGCCAACCAACCACUUUUUUUUUAUUGAAGUUAUUAUACUUAUAAGCUUUAUGCUUCUUGUAACAGAUUCGAUCUACAGGGCACUAUAGUUAUUGUCGGAGCAACUACAGUCAGAAUUACAAUAAGAUAAUUUUUAUUUAAACAUCAAUCAUGAUGCAAUUAAAGUAAUACAUCAAUUAUGAGCUUUAAUCGAGCUUACGAAAACUUUUUUGGCUGUCCGAGCAAGAAUUAGGACCAAACUGCAAAGUAAUUGCAUUUGUUAUUCUACCUAACUCAUGAAAUAUCUCAAAUUUGCCAACCAACCAAUAUAUCAUUCCAACCAACCAAUUUAUUAUUCACAUUCCAACUUUCUAAAUGCAUCAAAUAUUUCAUAUUCAUGUACUAACAAAGAUCAUGCCAAGAACCCACAUGCAGAGUCAUUAUAUACCACAUUUAACUCAACAAGACUUUUACACAACCAAAGAUUACUCCAAACGUUUAUAUGCAUGUCGCAAUCCUUGACUCAAAUGAUAAAAAAAAACACCAAAUUGACAAUAAAAUAGUGUAAGCUUCGAACGAUCCAAUCGACAUGUUCCACAAUGUAACACCUAAAAGGAAAAAGAAAACAAUGGGGUAAGCAUAUAAGAUGCUUAGGAAACUCAUAUGUAAUCUAAAACUUACCUAGAUUAAUUGAACAUAAACAAUUACUCAAUAAGCUAUCAAAUUUAUUUUUCCAUGGCACGUAGAUAUCGUAUAUGUAACAACAUUUCAAGUCAAAAAUGUUAAAUACAAUGUUGAAUCAUUAUGUCUUCUUUUCUUAAGUUUCACUUAUAGAAAUACAAUAUAGGUUCAAGUACAAAUAUAUGUCUCGAUUAAUCUAGAAAGAACUAGACAAAAUUCACAUAUGAUAUAGGCAUAUAAUGAGUGUGAGACUCACACAUCACAAUUGAGAAUAAUGUUAUAGAAAACCUUUGCGUUAAGCAAGAAGCUAAGACCCUAUCGGAGGGAGAAUUUUAUAUCUACAACACUUAUUAAAUUUCAUUAGCUUAAUAAUAGCUAUUCAAAUAUUUAACAUUGUAACCAUGCUUGUUUACAUAUCGUAAGCGCAUUUGUUAUUCUACCCAACUUAUGAAAAAUCUCAAAUUUGCAAUUUAUUAUUCACAUGCCAAACAACCAAUUUAUUAUUCACGUGCCAACCAAUUUGUUUUAUCGAAGUUAUUAUACUUAUAAGCUUUCACAUAUAACCAUGCUUCUUUACAUAUAUUAAUUGCAUUUAUUGUUGUACCUCAUGAAAAUUUUCAAAUUUGCAACAACAUAUUAUUCGCAUGCCAACCAACCACUUUUUUUUUAUUGAAGUUAUUAUACUUAUAAGCAUUCACAUUUAACCAUGCUUCUUGUAACACUUUUCAUUGGAUCCAAUCGUUGGGUCCGAUCUACAAGACGCUAUAGUCAUUGUCAAAGCAACUACAGUCGAAAUUACGAUAAGAUAAUUUUCAUUUAAACAUUAAGCAAGAUUCAACUACAGUAAUACAUUAAUUAUGAGUUUUAAUCGAGCUUACAAAAGCUUUUUUGGUAGUUCGAACAAGAAUUAGGACCAAACUAUAAAGAUUUGAAAAGUUUGGAGCGACGUCACAACUUCAGCUUUUCCUCAUCGCAACAUGACCAUCUCAGUAUGUCACAUCAUAUCGAAAAGCCUAUGCUCGUCGCGGCGAGACUCUUUGACUUGGCAAUGUCGCAAUGUCAAAAUUUGUAGCCGUUAUGUAAACCCUAUAUUUGACAAAAAUAUACAAUUUGGUACCUAAAUCAAAGCUCCAACUAAAAUCAUGCAAGAAAAAUACAUUACAUGCCAUUUCUAAAUGACUUAAAACUUACCUAAAACAUGCUAAGUAAGUUCAAACGUAUCAUUUCAAUUCCAUAGAAAUUCAUAAAACUUACCUAAAACAUGCUAAGUAAGUUCAAACAUAUCAUUUCAAUUCCAUAGCAAUUCAUAUUACCAUUUCAUCCAUUGUAUUCAACUUUUCAAUAACUUUAACUAAAUAUCAACAAGUUAUACAAACAUCUACCAUUACCUUUAUCAUGCCAUAAUGAAUCAUUUCAUUUCAAACAAUCAUCACAUUAGUUCUUUAAUUUUUCUUUUUUAGUCAACAUAUGCAAACCAACUUAAAUAGAUCACAUUCCAGCAUAGUCAACAAGACUUUUACACAACCAAAGAUUACUCCAAAAAUGUUUAUAUGCAUGUCACAAUCCUUCACUGAAAAUGAUAAAAAAAUCUACUAAAUUGACAAUAAAAUAGUUUAAGCUUUGAACGAUCCAACCGACGUGUUCUACAAGGUAACAACCUAAAAGAAACAAAAGAAACAACAGGAUAUACAUAUAAUAUGUUUAGUAAACUCAUAUGGAAACUAAAACUUACCUAGAUCAAUUGAACAUAAAAAAAUUACUCAAUAAGCUAUCGAAUUAAUUUUUCCUUGGCACUUAUAUACAUAUAGUACAUGUAACAACAUUUCAAGUCAAAAGUGUUAGAUACAAUGUUGAAUCAUAAUCCCGUCAACAUUUAAAACAUAAUCACAUAGCAAUCUAUAUAUCAAAUUUCAUCAAUACCAAUUCAUUUUCAAUUCAAGAUUUAAUUCCAUUUUCAACCAUUUAAUCAUCCUCUGAUGGAACUAUAGUAAAAAAGGUGCAUGGGAAUAUUUUGCUGAACUGACUCACACAAGUUGACUUUAUAUUAGAAUUGUUCACACACGUUAACUUUGUAAUUUAUAUUAUGUAAAAUUUAAGAUUUUUAUAUUAUGUAAAUCAAAGCUUAAUUAGUAUAGAAUUUUCAAAAUAAUAUGGCUGUAUAAAGAUAAAAUUCUUGAUAUAAGUCUCAACAAGGGAAAAAUUAAGGAUAGAAAAAUUGUGGUGGAAAGGGGAUCAAUUUCUCCUAAACAGGUGGAGAGCCGGAGAAUGAUAAGUGAAGGAAGAUGGUUGAUGUGAAGGCUAAGAGUAAUUGUUAAAGGUUACUAACAGGGGAAGAUCCCUUUCUCAUGAAGAUGAUUUUUAAACACCAUGUUAAUUGUUUAUGGGCCAUCAUGUUUGACGAUAAUUUUUAAAUACCUUGUUAAUUGUAUAUAGUACAUCAUGUUUGGCAAUGAUUUUUAAAGACUUUUAAACGUCACAUUAAUUGUUUAAUUGUUUAUGGCCCAUUGCCCAUGUUACUUUUAUUAAAUUUUGGGUAAACUACAAUUUAAUCACUUAAUUUUUAUAAAAUUUCAUUUUGGUCAUAAAAAAAUUGUAUGGAAUGAGAGUCUCAGGAUAAAACAAAAAUUAGGAUAAAUGUAAUGCUGAAAUGAAUAUAGUGGGAAUCUUUAAUGUUUAUGGCCAAACCCCACCUCUCCUAUCCUAUACUUCAUCUAUAAUAAUGGUUCUUGGCUUCUUCUAUCCUAUACCUCAAUUAUUUGGAUUAGAUUGAAAAACAAUUGACACUUGAUUUGAUUGUGAAAGAAGUUUUAGUUUAAUGAUAUGAAUGAGUUAAAUUUUAAAUUUAUAAUAUUUAACUUGAGUGUGAAUGAAUUUUUGACUUAAUUGAAAAUUUAAAAUUUUAGCUUCGAGUCUUAUUUAAUUAUGUGAGUAUAUCAUAUAUAAAUUUUGUUUAAAUUUAUUUUGAUUUAAUUCUCAUACUAUAUAAACUUUAUUCUUAAUUAAAUUUAGAUAUAUUCUAAUUAUCAAUUUAAUCAUAUAUUGUAACGAUGAAUUAGGAUUAUAGUUAAUUAUAUAUUGAAACAAAAUAAUGAGUUUAAGGAAUUAAAAGAUAUUAUUAUAUUUUAUAAAAAUUGAAUAGAUUAAUAAUUAAUUCGAGAUUAAAAAAUUGUCUAUCUUUAUUUCGCCCCUCAGUUUAAUUUAUUAUUUUCCCUAAUUUUAAAUCCAAAUAAUAAGGAGAAGAAAAAGAUAAAAGCAAACCUUUUUUACGGUCUGAACUAAACCCCAUGGGGUGUGGAAAAUUGCAAGUUUCCAGAAUAACGAAGUUCAGUUUUCGUCGGUGUUUCUAUGUGACUGUGUUUCUAUGGUAAGGAAUGGUGUAAAAAAGUUUACGGUUUAAGGUUUUGUUAUAUACGGAAGGAAAGCGCCUUUCAAGAUUAUUAGUAGCACUUAUUCUCGUGUUGUGUUUUGUAUUGAGUUGUACCUUUUUUUAGUGUAUGUAUUGUGGACCUGUGGUACAAGUUUAGUUCUUUUGAGUGUCUUGUGAUGUUAAGUAUGUUUUGUUGGGGCUCUUGGCUCCUAUGAUAAUAAAAUAUAUUUCAAGCAUAGUACUUUUUUUAUAUUUAAAAUUUAAUAUUAUACUUUUAUUUUAAGGUAAUCUCUCUACUACAACAAUGUUUAAUAUUAAUAUGAACUCAUGUUGCGAUUUACUAUUACCAACUAAUUGGAAUGCAACAUCUAUUUAAACUUCAACAUGAAACUAAAUUCUUCUAUAUAAACUAGAAAAAUAUCAUUAGUUCUUAAGUAAUUUCACCUCAAUCCAAUGACCAUUGUAUAGUCUCAAUUUUAUUCGGCCCAAACAAAUAAAAAGUCCAUUAACAGUCGCGGCAAGACUCUCUGACUUGGCAAUGUCGCAAUGUCAAGAUUCGUAGCCGUGAUGUGAACCCUAUAUUUGACAAAAAUAUACAAUUUGGUACCUAAUUCAAAGCUCCAACUAAAAUCAUGUAAAUGACUUAAACUUACCUAAAACAUGCAAAGUAAGUUCAAACAUAUCAUUUCAAUUCCAAAGCAAUUCAUAUUACCAUUUCAUCAAUGAAUCAUUCCAUUUCAAACAAUCAUCACAUUAGUUCUUUCAUUUUUUCCAUUUUAGUCAACAUAUGCAAACCAACUUAAAUAGAUCACAUUCCAACUUUCCAAAUACCAAGCUAAGACCCUAUCAGAGGGAGAAUGUUACAGCUACAACACUUCUUAAAUUUCAUUAGCUUAAUAAUAGCUAUUCAAAUAGUUAACAUUGUAACCAUGCUUCUUUACAUGUAGUAAUUGCAUUUGUUAUUCUACCUAGCUUAUGAAAAAUCUCAAAUUUGCAAUUUAUUAUUCACAAGCCAAACAACCAAUUUAUUAUUCCAACCAACCAAUUUAUUAUUCACAUGCCAACCAAUUUGUUUUAUUGAAGUUAUUAUACUUAUAAGCUUUCACAUAUAACCAUGCUUCUUUACAUAUAUUAAUUGCAUUUAUUGUUGUACCUCAUGAAAGAUUUUCAAAUUUGCAACAUAUUAUUUGCAUACCAACCAACCACUUUUUUUUUAUUGAAGUUAUUAUACUUAUAAGCUUUCACAUGUAACCAUGCUUCUUGUAACACAUUUCAUUGGAUCCGAUUGUUGGGUCCGAACUAUAGGAUGCUACAGUCAUUGUCAAAGCAACUACAGUCAGAAUUAUGAUAAGAUAAUUUUCAUUUAAACAUCAAUCACGAUUCAAUUACAGCAAUACAUUAAUUAUGAGCUUUAAUCGAGCUUACGAAAGCUUUUUUGGCAGUCUGAACAAGAAUUAGGACCAAACUGUAAAUUGGCUAAAUUUACUUAUAUCCACCAAAUUAUUAAAAUUUUAAAAUAUAUUCAAAAAAUUAGGACAAACAUUGGAUGAAACCACAAGGGAAAUUACAAACAGGAUCAAAUUGAAAGAAAAGCAAAAUGACAUGGAAGGAGUAAAAGAAGAGAUGGCUAAAUUGCCUGAAAAUUUAGCACCUAUAUUAAGCAACAUUGAUGAUAAAACACAUAGGAUGGAACCUAACUCAUGAAAAAUCUCAAAUUUGCAACCCCAUAUUAUUCACAUGCCAACCAACCAAAUUUUUUUGUCCUUUUUAGGGUCUACAAGACAGGUAGCAACCAUUAUUGAAGAAUUAGUCACGUUUUAAAUAUUUUCUUCUAAGUAAGCACAACGACAUUAAGAAAUUUACUUUUUAGAGUCUGUAUAAGGAAAGGGCCUUAGGAUUUGCUACUGCCACACUCGCUUCAGCAACAAUCGCUUCUAAUUUUCAGUCUGAGCGGUUCGAAGUAAUUAACUAGGUGAUUUUGUAGACUGUUUUUGGCUGAGUGAGUGAUGUUGGAAAAAAGGUGGCAAAAUGGCUACGAUAACGACAAAUGUUUCUAUAGCUUAUAUAAUAAACAUAAGGAAAAUAUUUUUGGUGUAAUAUCAAAUUUCGCUUCUAAUUUUUAUUAUUUUCAAUUUGAUUUUUAUUUUUUAGUAAAAUUUAGCUUUUUACUUUUGAAAGAGUUAAAUUGAUUAUCAAUCCUUAAACUGAAUUAAUAUUUUUCAAAAAUAAUGACUAAAAUAUUAAAUUUUAAACAUGAUAACUCAUAUGACAAUUCACGUGUACAUUUUUUAUUAUUAUUUUAAAAUUAUUUAUUGACAUAGCAUAUAAGAAAAUGAUUAUUAUGUUAGCAUGAAGUGCAUAUGGAUUGUCACACGAGUUGUAACACCAACAACGUAAAAAAUUAAUAUUUUAAUCAAUAUUUCUGUUAAAGAAAAGCAAUUUGACUUUUUUUUUGAAAGGUUCAUAGCUAAAUUUAGCUUAAAUAAUAAUAAUAAUGAUAAAAAAUAAAAGUCAAUUUGACAGAAAAUGUAAAUGUGGAGGACUAAAUUUAUUAUUAUGUCAUUUUUCUAAGUUUCACUUAUAAAAAUACAAUAUAGGUCCAAGUACAAAUAUGUGUCUGGAUUAAUCUAGAAAGAACUAGACAAAAUCUAUACAUGAUAUACGCAUAGAUGAGAGUGAGACCCAUUUUUAUAUCUACAACACUUCUUGAAUUUCAUACUCUUAAUACUAGCUUUUUUGUUGUUUGUUUCGCUUCAUUUGAUCUGUUUUGUUGUAAAAAAACAUAAAGAAAAACAUUCAAAAGUUUAACGUUAUAACAUUCCAAAAGAAAACACAUUCAAUAACUAACAUAUCUUGUAUUCUUGUAUUCUUUGAUCAAAUAGUGCAAGUGUAUUUAUACAGACUUUUGGAGGGUAACUACUGAACUGCUACUAACAACUUUUUAGCAGAAAGUUUAACAACUUAACCACCUAACAGAUUGCAUUUACCUAUGCUCUAAGAUUCUGUAAUGCGAAAUCAUACUUCAAAUUGUAAUUAUUACUUCAUAACAAUACAAGAUUUUCGUUACAAUGCUAGGAUUACUUAUAAACCUCAACCAUUAAAUGAGAGGAUAAAGACACUUUAAUAAGUUCGAAUCUUCGUCCUUUUGUAUUGACAAUAAUACUGAUAUCAAUCGAACUAAAACUCAGUAUAACAAUGGUUAAAUGAAUUUUAAGUACACAUAUUACUCUUACUAUGUAAGUAUUUAGGAUAAAUCACCCUCCAUGGUCAAACAAAUGGACCCAGGCUAUAAUUUGUAUAUAAAAAAAAUUAAAAAGCAUUAGUAAAACAAAUGGACCCAGGCUAUAAUCACCCUCCACUCAUUAACAAUUGUCAUCACAGGCUUAAUGUGGCAUGUUAACUAAUUGAUGUGACUAGUUAACUUGCCACGUUGGACAAGUAGUCAAAGGGUCAAAAAGAAAAAAAGAUGAUUGGUUAAGGGUAAAAAGAAAAAUAAGAGAAAUGAAGAAGAAGAAGAAGAAGAAGAAAAGAAGAACAGGGAAGGAAGAAGGGAAAAUGGAAGUAAAAGGGUCAAAAAGAAAAGAAAAGAUGAUUGGUUAAGGGUAAAAAGAAAAAUAAGAGAAAUCGAGAAGAAGAAAAAAUGAAGAACAGGGGAGGAAGAAGGGAAAAUGGAAGGAGCUUCCAAGCUUCAUACCAACGAUUCCCAAGGGUCAAAAUCUGGGAACUUGGAUUUUGAUCCUUGGGAAUCACUGUUACGAAGUCCUUCCAUUUUCUCCUUUUCUUCUUUUUCUCCAUUUAUUCUCUUAUUCUUCUUUUUUUUUUGUUCUUCUACUGCCCAAACUUCUUAAAUGGGUUUGUUUAAAUGACAGCUAGCCUACCCUUAAAUGCCAUUCACUUUUUCGUUACGUUUUGUUAAAAAGAUUGUUUAAAUGACAGAAAAUGGUUAAAAAGAUUGUUUUGUUAGCUACCCCAAAAUUGAGUGAUUGUUGCUGUAAUUUACCCCAUUUCUUAUUUGAAAUUGUAAAUUUUUAACAAGCUAAAUUUAAGGUUUUCAAAAUUCAACUCAUUAAGUUAUCGAUUUAUAAGUCUAAUUGGUUUGACGAAUUCAUCCGAUUAAUUAAAUUAAUUAUUAAAAAUUUUUGAUUUGAUUGCCCAAUUCAAUUAGUUUUUUUUUGGUUCAACCUGUUCAUAUAGAUUCCCAAGUCGAUUGGUCCAAUGAUUUCCUUCGGACUAAUACCUUAAUUAAUUUCCAAUCCAAAUCGAUUCAAAUAAUAUUAACUAAAAUACAAUUUUUAUUAUUUUAUUAAUGCAAAAAUUUUACCAUUUUAAAGAUAUUAAAAUAUAAAAUUUCUAUUUUAAAAAGUUGGAUUUGAAAUCAUAAUUUUUUUCCUAAAGAAAUGUACACUCAACAGGACCAAAGGAAUUCACAGGGAAAUUUUGUUUUAUGGACAGUCUUCAUCACAAAUGAUCCUAUCAAAUUAAAAGAGGAUAUAUCACCUUUUUUUCAUAUCAUAUAUACAUUGGGACUAAACUUCUAAAUAAAAAAUGAUGUGUCUUUUUUUAAUUGAGUGGGACCAUAGAUGAUGUGGUGAAAAUGGUCCAUUAAAUAAUUUAUCACAAGCAAGAGUAAUUCCAAAAAUAGAAAACUACAUUUUAAUUCUUUAAAAAUUAUUAAAUUAUAAAUUUAUAUAUUAUAAAAUUACACUUUGAUCCUCAAAAUGGAAAAAAUAUUUUGUUCAGUCUUUGACCACACCUAAUAAAAAGGAUUGGUGGUGACUCCAUUUUCGUUUUUUAAAUAAAAAGUCAAUUCCCAAAAAAAAGAUUUCGACAACCAUCACUUGGAUAACUUUGGUUAUCAGCUCAUGACACUUAGAGCUAUACAAUAUAUUUGGUGUUUGGCACAAUAUGGCAUACAUAGUAGUUUUCACUACUAAAAGAUAUGGUGCCUUACUCAUUCUUCUCUUAUCUUCCAAAGUUUUAGGAUUCAUAUCAUUCGAGUGAUGUACACUGUCAAUACUAUUUUUUUUGUAAAAGAGGUCGACUUUUUGUUUAAAAAUGAAAAUGGAGUCACCACCAAUCCUUUUUAUUUAGGUGUGAUAGGAUCACCUCGUAAUUUAAUCAUUUUAAUAAAAGUUUAAAUUUACUAAAAAAAUAAGUAAGUUAGUUUCUAUACAUCAGAUCAAAGAGCAAAUUGAUCAUUUUAUUACAUUUUUAAUCUUUUUCUAUCAUUAAAAAUUGAUUCAUAUACAUAAGUUUGAGGUACAGUGUCACGUCACAUGUUAUGAUUUGGUUAUUCCGUUAGUCACACCAGUUUUUAACAUUACAAAUAGAUGAAAAUUUUAACAGAAAUGACCAAGUUACUUUUUGAUCUAACAUAUAGGGACUAAUUUACUCAUUUUUCAAUAUAGAGAGCAAAAUGUAAUUCAACUCAAUGUACAAGGACUGUUAUUUUUUUUUCCAAUUUCACAUUAUUUUAUCAUAUUAUAUAUAUUGUUAGGAUCGUCCCGAUUAAGCAACGAACAAGUAAAAAUAGUAGAAGAAAUUGAGAAGAUGAACACACAAAUUUAACGUGGAAAAACCCCUCAAAAGAGGAUAAAAAACCACGGGCAAAGAUAAUUUUACUAUAAUGGCAAAAGAAUGAAGAGUACAAAAGAUGGAGAUAAAAACUAAACCCCGAAAACUCGAAAAACAAAGAACCCUCAAACGUAAACACAAAAUUCUCUGAAUGUGUUAUGAGUUCUAAUCUAAUGGGUGUCUCUUUUUAAUUCUAAGAUUGUAAAGGAGCCUAUUUAUAGGCUAAAUUAGUAAGUCAAAUAAACUAUACUAAUAAAUGCUAAAUAUAUUAUACUAAUAAAUACUAAAUCUUCUAGAAAGAAAAUAUAUUUUUGUUUAACUUGACUUGCAAGCAAUCUCUUAGAAUUUGGGUCACACAAUUCUAACAAUCUCCACCUUGACACGAAUUCUUUCAAUGCCAUCUUUGCCAAAACCCGCCACGAGCCUAUCUUGAACUAUGCAGGGAAUUAACUGAGUCGAAUCUAUGCUUAGAAGCUAGAAGACUUCUAGCCUUCGACUUGUGCACUGCCAAAUCAAAACUAACCCGGGUCUGAUUUUCACGAAUACAGUGCCCUAACUUUUCAAAACCUGCAUCCAAAAGAGAACCUCUCUUCAACGAAACGGUCAUACCUUUUUCCCUCCUAUGACCAAGUUGCCUCCGCUUCAAAUGAGUUGACUUUGACUCCGUAACGGACGAGGGACGUCCGAUUUCACCGGUCACUGUAGAACCUUCCAGAAUAUAAAGACUGCCGGUUCUUUUACCUUUUAACAAAACGAGAGCUCCACGAGAUACUUUAAUGUCGCUCGACUCGAUGUUGAUUCUGCAUCCUUUCAAGUCUAAAAUACUCAAGGAGAUGAGAUUCUUUCGUAAAUCGGGUACAUACCUGACAUCUGAGAGUGUCCUAAUCGUCCCAUCGUGUAUCCUAAUUUUAACAGUACCAAUACCGAUUAUUUUACUAGAUGAAUCGUUUCCCAUGUGCACAACUCCACCUUCAACUGAACUGUAUGUGGAGAACCAUUCUCUAUUGGGACACAUGUGGAAAGAACAUCCUGAAUCUAGGAUCCACUCAGACGUAAGCUUGGAGUUAUCGCUCGUUGACACUAACAAGAAAUCAUCACCGCCUUCAUCGACCAAAUUAGCACCAGCUACAUCUUCCUCGUUACUCUCAGCAGCUCUUUUAUUUCGCAGUUUAAAACAAUCUGCUUUGACGUGACCUAACUUUUUGCAAUAGCGACACCUUUUGUCUCGUUUCUUUGAUGCUACCAAAACGGAAGCUUGUCUAUCUGCUUUGCUAUUCAAAUCAAACUCAUUGUCGAGUUUGUCUCUACUCAACAAAUAACCUUUCACAUCUUCAAACGAGAGUUUGUCUCUGCCAUAAAUCAGGGUCUCCCUGAAAGACUUGUAUGAAGAGGGUAAAGAGCACAAUAAUAGCAUAGCUUGAUCUUCAUCGUCAAUAUGAACCUCAACGUUCUUUAAAUCAUUUAAAAGAGUAAUGAAUUGAUUGAUGUGAUCUUUAAGAAGCUCACCUUCGUUCAUGCGAAACGUAAAUAGACGUUGUUUCAACACUAAACGGUUAGCCAGAGACUUAGUCGCAUAAAGAGUUUCUAACCUUUUCCACAAGGCGAAUGAGGUCUUCUCCAUCAAUACCUCCUGCAAUACUGUAUUCGCGAGACACAACUGGAUUGCAGACAAGGCCUUUUCAUCAAGCUCUUCCCAUUUUGUUUGAUUUAGAUUCUCAGGCUUUUUCCCUGUAACAACCUUUUUCAAGCCAUUUUGAACUAGAAUUGCCAUCAUCCGAACUUGCCACAGAUUGAAAUUUGUCUCACCAUCGAACUUCUCAAUUUCAAACCUUGUUGCUGCCAUCUCUGACCGGGCUGAUCUAUGAAAGUUAAACUAUCUCUGAUACCACUUGUUAAGAUCGUCCCGAUUAAGCAACGAACAAGUAAAAAUAGUAGAAGAAAUUGAGAAGAUGAACACACAAAUUUAACGUGGAAAAACCCCUCAAAAGAGGAUAAAAAACCACGGGCAAAGAUAAUUUUACUAUAAUGGCAAAAGAAUGAAGAGUACAAAAGAUGGAGAUAAAAACUAAACCCCGAAAACCCGAAAAACAAAGAACCCUCAAACGUAAACACAAAAUUCUCUGAAUGUGUUAUGAGUUCUAAUCUAAUGGGUGUCUCUUUUUAAUUCUAAGAUUGUAAAGGAGCCUAUUUAUAGGCUAAAUUAGUAAGUCAAAUAAACUAUACUAAUAAAUGCUAAAUAUAUUAUACUAAUAAAUACUAAAUCUUCUAGAAAGAAAAUAUAUUUUUGUUUAACUUGACUUGCAAGCAAUCUCUUAGAAUUUGGGUUACACAAUUCUAACAUAUAUAUAUUAGCAUACGCCUAUCAUGCAAAUGGUAUAAUGUCCAGAUUAUCUGGUCUUUGAUUUCAUUUGUCAAUUAAUGAUUGUGGAUUGACAAUAUUGACCAUUUUAUGCACGGGGACUACUCAUCUACUCCUCUUCUGCCAUUCUCACUACCCAUUUGCAUUCAUUUUCUCUGCCCUACUGCUCCUCUGCAGUGCACUCUCCAAUUGCAUUUAAAGACAAUAUAUACGUAUAGAUUGUAAAUUUUCUUGGCUGGAAGCUCACUGUAAGCCAAAAUCAAAACAAACUUUUGAUGGUUUAAUUGUUUUUUAGCCCUUCAAUUUCAGGUGCUAUGAGAAAUGGAUUACAACCUCAUCUUGUCAUUAUCCCAAAAUCAAAACAAGCAACUCUUGGUUGAAAGUUGAAACCAAGAGCCAAGUCAAAAUUGUUUUAGGAUGAGUCCAAAAUGAAUAAUGAAUUUGAAGGUUCAAAAUAAAAUUUUAUUAUUAUAUUAAUUUAUAAUUUCAUAAAUUUUAAAAGGAUUAAAUAAUAAAUUUACUAAUUUAAGAAGACAAUAGGGAUGAUCAAAUCUAAUUGAACCUAUCAGCGAUCGGAUCGGGAUGGAUUUUUUAAAUUUAAAAAAUUAAAUAGAUUGAAUCGAAAAUCUAGGAGUUACAAAAUUCUCAUAAAUAACAAGAGUUUACAAAAAGAACACUUACUUUGGUUGAUGUAUGGUAUAAUAAGUCUGCAAAGCACCGAUAAAAAGUGCAGCAAUGGCACCCACAAAUGCGAAAAACGUCCAACGAGUCCUAAAAAAAGUACGGUAAACUUGAGCUGGAUAUCUAAUCCACAGAUUGUUUUGAUGAUCAUGUAUUUUCCGUUUAACCCCACUGUAAAUCAUCGGACUAGGAACCAAACCAGUGUUCAUCUUGUUGAAAAGCUUAGCCACUUCUUUAUCACUCCCCAAUCUAUUGUAUAAUAUGCCGACGUCUCUCAGUUCCUUAACAUCUUCGGCUUCAUCGAUCAAUGAACCAAGGAAACACAUAUAUGAAGUGACGGCGAAAUCGUUCUGGAAAUCCGGACACAUUUCGUAAGCUAUUAAGUUCAUGGUUGAAUCAUCGACGGAGAUCGGCGGUAAACAUAAUUUUCCGACGAAUAAGAUACGGUUGAAACUGAUGUCGGUUAAAUAACUUGUUUCGCUUGCUUCUAACCAUAUCCCGGUGUUUUUAAGCUCUUUUACGUUAUGAAUGGUGUGUGAAUGGCACCGUUUUGUUCUUUCUUCUUUUCUAUCUUCGUGUUCAAUGCAAAACGGAAAACACCACCGCCGUAGUUUUUCUAUUUUGAAAAGGAGUCUUUUAUGAAUUCCCCACCCCCGUGGUUUUUCUUUUUUGAAAAGGAGUCUUACUCGUAGUAGAUGCAAUAAGUGAAUUGGCGUUCCUUCUUGCUGCGGCCACCAGUCACUAGAGCCAAAUCUGUGUUAGUCAGGAGCCAGCUAAAAUCAAGGUUUUCAAUGGUUGAAUCAAAUCAUUAUUAUUUUAAUAAAAAAUUAUUUAAAUUAUUAAAUUACAUUUUAAACCUUUUAAAAAUUAUUAAAUUAUAAAUUUAUAUACAAUAAAAUUAUACUUUGACUCCUCAAAAUGAAUAAAAAAUUGUUCAAACACUUUUGAAAAAUGAUGAAAUUAUAAAUUAAUACAUAAAAAAAAUCUAAGAAUCAAACCAAACUUGUGGAUCGGCCUAAUUAGAUAGAGAAUCGAGCAAGGUACUGAUCCAGAAUAAUAAGUUAAAUCCAUUGAAUCCAAUCAUCGAAUCGAUUUUUUAUAUAUUUUUAAUAUUUUUAAAAAUUUAUAUAUAUAAUUAAACUGAAUGAACUUAUCAACUAGAAAUGAGAGUCUAAUAGAUUCCAUCACCCAUCUAGUUAUAAAAACCUUUUAACUUUUAUAAACUCCACAAAAAUGGUUAAAAAGACUGUUUUGCCAGCUACCCCAAAGUUGAGUGAUUGUUGCUGUAAUUUACCCCAUUUCUUAUUUGAAAUUGUAAAUUUUUAACAAGCUAAAUUUAAGGUUUUCAAAAUUCAACUCGUUAAGUUAUCGAUUUAUAAGUCUAAUUGGUUUGACGAAUUCAUCCGAUUAAUUAAAUCAAUUAUUAAAAAUUUUCGAUUUGAUUGCCCAAUUCAAUUAGUUUUUUUUUUGGUUCAACCUGUUCAUAUAGAUUCCCAAGUCGAUUGGUCCAAUGAUUUCCUUCGGACUAAUACCUUAAUUAAUUUCCAAUCCAAAUCGAUUCAAAUAAUAUUGGCUAAAAUACAAUUUUUAUUAUUUUAUUAAUGCAAAAAUUUUACCAUUUUAAAGAUAUUAAAAUAUAAAAUUUCUAUUUUAAAAAGUUGGAUUUGAAAUCAUAAUUUUUUUUCUAAAGAAAUGUACACUCAACAGGACCAAAGGAAUUGGCAGGGAAAUUUUGUUUUAUGGACCGUUUUCAUCACAAAUGAUCUUAUCAAAUUAAAAGAGGAUAGAUCAUCUUUUUUUUCAUAUCAUAUAUACAUUGGGACUAAACUUCCAAAUAAAAAAUAAUGUGUCUUUUUUUAAUUGAGUGGGACCAUAGAUGAUGUGGUGAAAAUGGUCCAUUAAAUAAUUUAUCACAAGCAAGAGUAAUUCCAAAAAUAGAAAAUUACAUUUUAAUUCUUUAAAAAUUAUUAAAUUAUAAAUUUAUAUAUUAUAAAAUUACACUUUGAUCCUCAAAAUGGAAAAAAUAUUUUGUUCAGUCUUUUUUUUUUAAAAAAAUAUGAACUUAUAAAUCAAUACAUGAAAAAAUUUAAGCGUCAGGCUAGUUGGAAAGAAAAGAUGAUUGGUUAAGGGUAAAAAGGAAAAUAAGAGAAAUGGAAAAGAAGAAGAAAAGAAGAACAGGGGAGGAAGAAGGGAAAAUGGAAGGAGCUUCCAAGCUUCAUACCAACGAUUCCCAAGGGUCAAAAUCUGGGAAUUUGGAUUUUGAUCCUUGGGAAUUACUGUUACGAAGUCCUUCCAUUUUCUCCUCUUCUUCUUUUCUUCUUUUUCUCCAUUUCUUCUCUUAUUCUUCUUCUUUUUUUUUGUUCUUCUACUGCCCAAACUUCUUAAAUGGGUUUGUUUAAAUGACAGCUAGCCUACCCUUAAAUGUCAUGUCACUUUUUCGUUACGUCUGUAACGAAAAAUGGUUAAAAAGACUGUUUUGUCAGCUACCCCAAAGUUGAGUGAUUAUUGCUAUAAUUUACCCUAUUUCUUAUUUGAAAUUGUAAAUUUUUAACCAGCUAAAUUUAAGGUUUUCAAAACCCAACUCGUUAAGUUAUCGAUUUAUAAUUCUAAUUGGUCUAAUGAAUUCAUCCGAUUAAUUAAAUUAAUUAUUAAAAAUUUUCCAUUUGAUUGCCCAAUUCAAUUAAUUUUUUUUGGUUCAACCUGUUCAUAUAGAUUCCCAAAUCAAUUGGUCCAAUGACUUCCUUCAGACUAAUACCUUAAUUAAUUUCCAAUCCAAAUCGAUUCAAAUAAUAUUGGCUAAAAUACAAUUUUUAUUAUUUUAUUAAUGCAAAAAUUUUACCAUUUUAAAGAUAUUAAAAUAUAAAAUUUCUAUUUUAAAAAGUUGGAUUUGAAAUCAUAAUUUUUUUUCUAAAGAAAUGUACACUCAACAGGACCAAAGGAAUUGGCAGGGAAAUUUUGUUUUAUGGACCGUUUUCAUCACAAAUGAUCUUAUCAAAUUAAAAGAGGAUAGAUCAUCUUUUUUUUCAUAUCAUAUAUACAUUGGGACUAAACUUCCAAAUAAAAAAUAAUGUGUCUUUUUUUAAUUGAGUGGGACCAUAGAUGAUGUGGUGAAAAUGGUCCAUUAAAUAAUUUAUCACAAGCAAGAGUAAUUCCAAAAAUAGAAAAUUACAUUUUAAUUCUUUAAAAAUUAUUAAAUUAUAAAUUUAUAUAUAAUAAAAUUACACUUUGACCCUCAAAAUGGAAAAAAUAUUUUGUUCAAUCUUUUUAAAAAAAUAUGAACUUAUAAAUCAAUACAUGAAAAAAUUUAAGGAUUCGACAAAACUUAUCGGUCAGGCUAGUUGUUGAGAAAAUUGAACAAGAUAUUGAUCCAGAAUAAGAGAUUAGAUUAGAUGAAUUGAGUCAUCGAAUGGAUUUUCUUUAUAUGUUUAAUAUAUCUUUAAUAUUUUCAAAAACUUAUAUAACUGAAUCGAAUAAACUAAUCAAUCAAAAUUAAGAGUAAUCAAUGUAAAAACCUUUUAACAUUUAUAACCUCGACAAAAUGAUUUUUUUAUUUAUUUUUAAAUUCCUUAAAUUACCUGUCCUCGGCUGGGGUGAUAACAGUGUCGUCGAUGAACCUUUUGACUGCAUUCAUGAACUUUUCGCCAUCACUCGAGCUUGUAAGCAAUUCAAGAACACGAAAAGGUAUUUGGUUCUCCAACAAUAACAGAUCCGAGUACACAAAUGUCAGCAAAUCGUUUUUAAUAAACAACCGGUCAUAUUCAGAAGAAAUAUCAUCACCGUAACGCAUAUAAACUGCUUGUAAAAUUGCGCAGCCGUCAACGAAGAACAUCCAAGCCAGUUCCUCGUCAUCGUCGCUAUAGUUCGCUAAUUCCUGUGGAUCAUAGCAUUUCUUUAAGUCAUCGAUCUCUGCCUUCAUGUUGCUGUACUCCUCAUUGUCGUCAAUGUUUCUGACGAAAUGUGCUGCUAAUUUGAGCUUGAGAUCAUUGGAUUCUUGGAGGGUGCCAUCAUCGUGGUGGAGUGGGCCGAUUGAGAUCACUUUCGGCUUGAAAUACUUCUUGAAAUCUUCGUUACGGCUAAGGGUUGAUGGGACUUUUCGGAUCAAUGGAUUGCAUGUGCCGUUGGAAGCUUUGACUAAUGACGCGAGAUUCGCUAAUUCGCCCUUCCAGCGUAGCAAGUCAAUACGAAUGCUCACGAAAUCGUUGUUGUUGGUGAUUGUUUGAUCAGUGGAAACUGCUCCGACGGCGCCGCCUCCUUCCUCCGUGGACGGCAUUUUCAGGCUGAGCGGUUGGAAGUAAUAAAGAAGGUGAUUUUGUAAACUGUUUUUGGCUGAGUGAGUGAUGUUGGAGAAAAGGUGGCAAAAUGGCUACGAUGAUGACAAAUAUUUUAUAGCCUACAUGAUAAACAUAUAUGGGAAAUACUUAAGGUGUAAUUCAAAUUUACCCCUUAGUGUUUAUAUUUUUAUUAAUAUAAUUUUAAUUUUUUAAUUAAAUUUAAUUCUCUUUUGAAAGAGUCAAUGAUAAAAAAGAAAAGUUAAAUUAAUAUUUUUUAACAAAAAUAGUAAUAAAUAUUAAAAUUAAGAAUAAUAUUAUAGAACCUAAAUACUCAACACAACCCAAAACCUUCGCCUUAACCAAGAAACUAAUACUUCCUAAAUUUCAUUAGCUUAAUAAUAGCUAUUCAAAUAUAUUUUUUCAUUGUAUUACUUAAAUUAUUAUUACUUACUUUAACAUUUAAAUUAUCAUUAUAUUACAUGAUUAGUUCCAAAUAUUUAACAUUGUAACUAUGCUUCUUUAAAUAUAGUAAUUGCAUUUGUUAUUCACAUGUUAUUCACAUGCCAACCAACCAAUUUAUUAUUCACAUUCCUAACUUUCUAAAUGCAUCAAAUAUUUCAUAUUCAUGUACUAACAAAGAUCAUGCCAAGAACCCACAUGCAGAGUCAUUAUAUACCACAUUUAACUCAACAAGACUUUUACAUAACCAAAGAUUACUCCAAACGUUUAUACGCAUGUCGCAAUCCUUGACUCAAAUGAUAAAAAAAAAAACACCAAAUUGACAAUAAAAUAAUGUAAGCUUCGAACGAUCCAAUCGACAUGUUCCACAAUGUAACACCUAAAAGGAAAAAGAAAACAAUGGGGUAAGCAUAUAAGAUGCUUAGUAAACUCAUAUGUAAUCUAAAACUUACCUAGAUUAAUUGAACAUAAAAAUUACUGAAUAAUCUAUCAAAUUUAUUUUUCCAUGGCACGUAGAUAUCGUAUAUGUAACAACAUUUCAAGUCGAAAAUGUUAAAUACAAUGUUGAAUCAUUAUGUCUUCUUUUCUUAAGUUUCACUUAUAGAAAUAUAAUAUAGGUUCAAGUACAAAUAUAUGUCUCGAUUAAUCUAGAAAGAAUUAGACAAAAUUCACAUAUGAUAUACGCAUAUAAUGAGUGUGAGACUCACACAUCACAAUUGAGAAUAAUGUUAUAGAACCUAAAUACUCAACAACCCAAAACCUUUGCGUUAAGCAAGAAGCUAAGACCCUAUCGGAGGGAGAAUUUUAUAUCUACAACACUUCUUAAAUUUCAUUAGCUUAACAAUAGCUAUUCAAAUAUUUAACAUUGUAACCAUGCUUCUUUACAUAUAGUAAUUGCAUUUGUUAUUCUACCCAACUUAUGAAAAAUCUCAAAUUUGCAAUUUAUUAUUCACAUGCCAACCAACCAAUUUAUUAUUCACGUGCCAACCAAUUUGUUUUAUCGAAGUUAUUAUACUUAUAAGCUUUCACAUAUAACCAUGCUUCUUUACAUAUAUUAAUUGCAUUUAUUGUUGUACCUCAUGAAAAUUUUCAAAUUUGCAACAACAUAUUAUUCGCAUGCCAACCAACCUCUUUUUUUUUAUUGAAGUUAUUAUACUUAUAAGCAUUCACAUUUAACCAUGCUUCUUGUAACACUUUUCAUUGGACCCAAUCGUUGGGUCCGAUCUACAAGACUCUACAGUCAUUGUCAAAGCAACUACAGUCGAAAUUACGAUAAGAUAAUUUUCAUUUAAACAUCAAGCAAGAUUCAACUACAGUAAUACAUUAAUUAUGAGUUUUAAUCGAGCUUACAAAAGCUUUUUUGGUAGUCCGAACAAGAAUUAGGACCAAACUAUAAAGAUUUGAAAAGUUUGGAGCGACGUCGCAACUUCAGCUUUUCCUCAUCGCAACAUGACCAUCUCAGUAUGUCACAUCAUAUCGAAAAGCCUAUGCUCAUCGCAGCGAGACUCUCUGACUUGGCAAUGUCGCAAUGUCAAGAUUCGUAGCCGUGAUGUGAACUCUAUAUUUGACAAAAAUAUACAAUUUGGUACCUAAUUCAAAGCUCCAACUAAAAUCAUGCAAGAAAAAUACAUUACGUGCCAUUUCUAAAUGACUUAAAACUUACCUUAAACAUGCUAAGUAAGUUUAAACAUAUCAUUUCAAUUCCAUAGCAAUUCAUAUUACCAUUUCAUCAAUUGUAUUCAACUUUUCAAUAACUUGUAACCAUGCUUCUUUACAUAUAGUAAUUGCAUUUGUUAUUCUACCUAAUUUAUGAAAAAUCUCAAAUUCACAAUUUAUUAUUCACAAGCCAAACAACCAAUUUAUUAUUCCAACCAACCAAUUUAUUAUUCACAUGCCAACCAAUUUGCUUUAUUGAAGUUAUUAUACUUAUAAGCUUUCACAUAUAACCAUGCUUCUUUACAUAUAUUAAUUGCAUUUAUUGUUGUACCUCAUGAAAAUUUUCAAAUUUGCAACAACAUAUUAUUCGCAUGCCAACCAACCUCUUUUUUUUUAUUAUUGAAGUUAUUAUACUUAAAAGCUUUCACAUGUAACCAUGCUUCUUGUAACACUUUUCAUUGGAUCCGAUCAUUGGGUCCGAUCUACAGAACGCUACAGUCAUUAUCAAAGCAACUACAGUCAGAAUUACGAUAAGAUAAUUUUUAUUUAAACGUCAAUCACGAUUCAAUUACAGUAAUACAUUAAUUAUGAGCUUUAAUCGAGCUUACGAAAACUUUUUUGGCAGUCCGAACAAGAAUUAGGACCAAACUGUAAAGAUUUGAAAAGUUUAGAGCGAUACUGCGACUUCAGCUUUUCCUCAUCGCAACAUGACCAUCUCAGUAUGUCACAUCAUAUCAAAAAGCCUAUGCUCGUCGCGGCGAGACUCUCUGACUUGGCAAUGUCGCAAUGUCAAGAUUCGUAGCCGUGAUGUGAACCCUAUAUUUGACAAAAAUAAACAAUUUGGUAUCUAAUUCAAAGCUCCAACUAGAAUUAUGCAAGAAAAAUACAUUACGUGCCAUUUCUAAAUGACUUAAAACUUACCUUAAACAUGCUAAGUAAGUUUAAACAUAUCAUUUCAAUUCCAUAGCAAUUCAUAUUACCAUUUCAUCAAUUGUAUUCAACUUUUCAAUAACUUAAACUAAAUAUCAACAAGUUAUACAAACAUCUACCAUUACCUUUAUCAUGCCAUAAUGAAUCAUUCCAUUUCAAACAAUCAUCACAUUAGUUCUUUCAUUUUUCUUUUUUAGUCAUCAUAUGCAAACCAACUUAAAUAGAUCACAUUCCAACUUUCUAAAUGCAUCAAAUAUUUCAUAGCAAAGAUCAUGCCAAGAACCCACAUGCAAAGUCAUUAUAUACCACAUUAAACUCAACAAAACUUUUACACAACCAAAGUCUACUACAAAUGUUUAUAUACAUGUCGCAAUCCUUGACUCAAAAUGAUAAAAAAUAAACUACCAAAUUGAUGAGAAAAUAGUUUAAGCUUAGAACAAUCCAACCGACGUGUUCUGCAAGGUAACAACCUAAAAGAAAAAAAGAAACAACGGGAUAAGCAUAUGAUAUGCUUAGUAAGCUCAUAUGGAAACUAAAACUUACCUAGAUCCAUUGAACAUAAAAAAUUACUCAAUAAGCUAUUGAAUUAAUUUUUCCUUGGCACUUAUAUACAUAUAGUACAUGUAACAACAUUGCAAGUCAAAAGUGUUAGAUACAAUGUUGAAUCAUAAUCCCAUCAACCUUUAAAACAUAAUCACAUAGCAAUCUACAUAUCAAAUUUCAUCAAUUUAUUUUUCAAUUCAAGAUUUAAUUCCAUUUCCAACCAUUUAAUCAUCCUCUGAUAAAACUAUAGUAAAAAAGACCUAGGUACAUGGGACUAUUUUGCUGACACUUUAACGAACUUUCUCACACAAGUUGAUUUUAUAUUAGAAUUGUUCACACAAGUUGACUUUGUAAUAAUUGCUCACACAAGCUAACUUUAUAUAAUGGAAUUGUUCACACAUCCUGACUUUGUAAAAUGCUCACACAAGCUGACUUUGUAAUACUUCCAUACAACUAAUAUUUAUGAUUCAAUUAAAUUCAAGACAAUUGUGCUAAAUUCUAACAAUUAUAUAUAUAUAUAUAUCCUUUUUUUCGGGAUCAUUCCAAAAAAAACCGUUUUUAAUUUUUGGUGCGGAACAAAAAAAAAGUGAAUUGAAUUUAAAGUUGGAUCGAGUGAAUAAAUGGAUAGAGCUCCACGGCCCCAAUUAUAGGGAAACAAAAAGUAACAAGCUUCUGUUCUCAAUUUGAAUAAUUACCUAAUCUAAUUAAACUUUAAAAAAAAAAUUAGUGCCUAAUGUGGUAAAGGUUUUUCUCAUGAGUAAAUUAUCGGUUUUUUUUUUGAGUCCUAAUUAUUAUUAUUAGGCAUUCCCUUUAUGGGUUAGCCAUGAAUGUGUAGAAGAAGCAGUAUAUUGAUAAAGAAAAUAACUUUUUUUCUAAAAUCAAAAGAGCGAUUGGGUUGAAAAAAUAAAGGAUUUCUAACCGUCAUAUAUGUUGAUUCAAAUAUAAUUCAUACCAAAAUAAAAUUGAUUAUUAAGUUAAAAUAAAAUUUAGGAUGUGAAAGAAGUUCAAAAAAAAAAUUAAUGCAAAAGAAAGAUAAGGGUAUUUUUUUUAGGUCAUGGAUGUAACAACGAAGCUCGGUUAUUGUUGGUGUUGUAUGGAAGAAUCGAAGAUGUAGUGAAUGAGUUUUUAGGGUUUUAAAGUUUAACAUUGAAAGAUUGUUGUUUGUGGGUAUGUGACUGUUUUCGAUGUAAGGAAUGGUAUAAAAAAAUUACGAUUUAGGGUUUUAUUAUAUAAAUAAAGAAAGCGCCUUUUAAGAUUGUUAGAGGCACCUAUCUUUGUUUUUAGUGUAUGUAUCAUGGUCCUGAUGAUGCGGUACAAGUUUAGUUCUUUUGAGUGUGUCUUGUGAUGUGAAGUCUGUUUUGUUGGGGCUCUUGGCUCCUAUGUUUCAAUGAUAAUAAAAUAUACGUCAAACAAAAUUCUCACAAAAAACAGAGUUUACAAAACGACUAGUAAACAACACUUACUUUGGUUGAUGUAUGGCAUAAUAAGUCUGCAAAGCACCAAGCAAAAGUGCAGUAAUGGCACCCACAAAUGCCAAAAACGUCCAAGGACUCCUAAAAUAAGUAUGAUAAGCUAGAGCUGCAUGCUUAAUCCGCAUAUUCUUACAAUGAUUAUGUAUUUUCCGUUUAACCCCACCGUAAAUCAUCGGACUAGGAACCAAAUCAGUGUUCAUCUUAUUGAAAAGGUUAGCCACUUCUUCAUCACUCCCCAAUCCGUUGUAUAGUAUGCCGGUGCCACUCAGGUCUUUAACAUCUUCGGCUUCAUCGAUCAAUAAAUCAAGGAAACACAUAUAUGAAGUGACAGUGAAAUCGUUUUUGAAAUCCGGGCACAUUUCGUAAGCUAUCAAGUUCAUGGUUGAAUCAUUGACGGCGAUUGGCGGUAAACAUAAUUUUCCAACGAAGAUACGGUUGAAACAGAUUCGUAGUAGAUUCAGUAGGUGAAUUGGACUUGCAGCUUCCACCAUUACCAUUUUCUAGAGCUAAAUCUGUGUCAAGUCAUCGAUUUAUAAGUUUAAUUGAUCCGAUGUAUUCAUAUUUGUUGAUUAAAUAAAUCAUUAAAAAUUUUGAUUUUAUUAUUUAGUUCAAUAAGUUUUUUUUUUUUUUUACAAUUCAACCUGAUUCUUAAGUCAAUCGAUCUAAUGACUUUCUUUAAACUCAUACCUCAAUUAAUUUUCAAUCCAAUAUAAUCCAAACAACAUUUCGUAAAAUAUAAUUUUAUUUUACCAUUUUGAAAAGUUGGAUUUGAAAAUGCACACUCAACAGGAUCAAUACAAAGGGACAGGCGAGGUCGUUCUCAAAAAUAGAAAAUUAUAUUUUCAUCCUUUUUAAAUUAUUAAAUUAUAAAUUUAUAUAAUAAAAUUACACUUUAACCUUUUAAAAUGAAAAAAAAAAUUGUUCAACCUUUUUAAAACUGAUGAAAUUAUAAAUUAAUAAAUGAAAAAAAAAGAGAAUGAGACGAAACUUGUUGAUCAAGCUAGUUGGAUAGAGAAUUAAGUAAAGGUGCUCAUGGGUAAGGUUGAACCCAAUAAAAGAUUUAUGCCUCAGCUUGGCCCACUCGUUUUAAUUUUUUUAAAUUUUUUUAAAUUUUUUUAAUAUAAUUUUUAAAUAUAUAUGAUACAUUAAAAAUACUAAAAAACAUUAAAAUAAAUAUUUCCCAACAAACUAAUUUUUUUUUAAAAAUAUGUAUACUUAAAUAACAUUAAAGUAGACACUGUAAAAUGGUAAUAAAAUAGGAAGAAAAUGACAAGAAACUAGCAUUAAAACAAUAAAAAAAUAACAUAUUUUUUUGUCCUUUUGUGAUUCGGGCUAGGGUUGGGCCAAAAAUGUCUUACCCGAGACUCGGCCUAUUUUCAAAACUAGAUUUUUUUUUGCCCAAGUCAAUUUUUUAGGUCUAUAUUUUUACUUAAACCCUUAUAUUUCUCGGACGAGCCAAAUGACCCAAUCUAUGAGUAAGUCUAGAAUCAAGCAAGAUACUGGUCCAGAAGAAAAGGAUAGACAAAUUGAAUCGAAUAGUAAAAUCGAUUUUUUUUAUAUUUUUAAUAUAACUUUAAUAUUUUUUAAGAUUCUAUAUAAUUUAAACGAAUGAACUAUUCAACCGAAAAUGAGGAUCUAAUCGAUUCCAUCACCUAGUUAUAAAAAUCUUUAACACUUAUAAACUCCACAAAAUAUUCUUUUUAAAAUUCCUUAAAUUACCUGUCCCGCUGAUGUGAUUGUGGCUCUUUUAUCUCGGCUGGGUUGACAACAGUGUCGUCGAUGAACCUUUUGAUUGAAUCCAUGAACUUUUUGCCAUCCCCCGAGCUUGUAAGCAAUUCAGGAACACGAAAAGGUGAUUGGUUUUCCAACAAGAACAGAUCCGAGUACACAAAUGUCAGCAAAUCGUUUUUAAUGAAAUUCGUUCGACUUACGAUCAUAAUCUUGGCCGUAACGCAUAUAAACUGCUUGUAAAAUUGCGCAGCCGUCAAUUCCUUUGGAUCAUAGCUUUUCUUCAAGCCAUCCGGCUCUGUCUUCAUGUUGUUGUACAAGGUAUCAUUAUCGAUGCCAAUUUUUUUAACGAAAUUUGCUGCUAAAUUGAGCUUGAGCUUCUCGGACUCGUGGAGGGUGGGAUCAUCGUGGUGGAGUGGGCCAAUUGAGAUCACUUUCGGCUUGAAAUAUUUCCGGAAAUCUUCGUCACGGCGAAGGGUUGCUGGGACUCUUUUGUCAAUAGUUUGGCUUUGGGGUCGAGAUGGUCCCCUUCGAAAGCUUCGUCUAAUGACCAGCAAUUCCGUGAUUCGCCAUUGCUGUGAGUGAAGUCUGUACCCGGUAUUGGAAUGAUCGUCUCUAGGGGAUUGUUGUUCGUGUUGUUAUUGAUGACUGUUUGAUCAGUGGAAACUACUCCACCGGGAGCUCUGACGGCGCCGCCUCCUUCUGUAACACCCCUAUACCAUGUUUGACUUAAGGAACCUAAUAUAAGAAUAUUACAUUUGAUGCCAAAGUAAUUCUUGGCUAAUUACUAUUAUAUUUGAACAUAAAAACAGACAAAUAAUAAAUUUAAAUAAUUUAUAUUUAAAUCCAUUACUACUACUUGGGACAUAAUUUUUUUUAAGUACAUGCCAUUCUAUUCAAAAUUUUAAAACAUACCCGUUGUUGCUUGAAGAUGUGAUGAGAUGAAAGCUUACAAUCUCAAAUUCGACUCUCAAAAAUUUAUGUACCUAAUUUGCGCAAGGAAACAAAUCGUACAAUGAGUAUACACCCAGUGUUAUUACUAUAAUUCAAAUACUUAAGGUAAAAACAAUAUAUAUACACAUUAAAUCUUACCACUAUUUUACCUUCAAUAAAUCAUUCAUGCAUUUAAACUUUAAAUUUAUUCUAAUAAUAUGUAUCUUAAAUAGCUUUUCUUUAUUUUAAUUUAUAUAUCUACUUAUUAUAUCAAUAUUCAUUUCAUGCAUUUCAUCAAUAACCAUUUCAUAAAACUAUUAUUUCAUAUAUUUCAUUUCUAUAUCCUAAUUCAAUAAUUUAUUCUAUUCCAUAUCUAAAACCUUACAACAUUAGUCUUUCAAUAAUUAUUUAAACCAACAUUUUUCAAUAAAAAUAAUUAUAAUUAAUUCAUAAGAUUAUAUCCAACUAACUCAUACACUAUUUCAUUAUUUCCUAUUCAUUCUAUUUUCACUUCUUAUUUCGAUAUCUCAAUUUCAAUUCACAUUUCAAUUCAUAAUUUCACUUUCUCAUACUUUCAAUAGCUCAAUCCAUCAAUUCAUUUGAUUUUUUCAUUUCAUUUAUUCAACUGAUUUCAAAAUCAAUAAUUCGAUAUUUUAGCAAAUUCAUGAACCUUAUGUUCAUGCUUCAAAUCUCGCAUCUUAAUGCCGUUCACAAUUCAACUCAUAAUUUCUUUCUCAUAUCUCUAAAAGUACGAUCAAUCAAAUUUAUUUAAUUUUCUCAUUUCAGUUAUUCACCUUAUUAACAAACCCGGACUUUGACGGAUACACGAAUUCCAACCCAAACACACCAGUACGGCAUAUUGUGCCUAAAACGGUACAUAGUACCUGAUCAGUAUACGACACAUAAGUGCCUGAAAUGACACACGAGGUGCCUAAUAUGACACACGAGGUGCCUGAAAUACGCAAAGCCGAUAUAUCCCGGACUCUUAUAAAUCCUAUGGCAUGCCAAUUAUAUCCGACUCAGCCCGACUAGAUAAUAGGGUAUUUCAAUUCUCAAUUCACUUUCAUUUCCAAUUCAAUAUCACUUUUCAAUUACAAUUUCUCAUUCAAAUCAAUAUACAAUUCAAUUGUACAUACACAUUCAUCAUUCAAUUCAAUUCUCAUUCAUUUCAAAAUCAAUUUUUCACUUUCUAAUCAAUAAACAAUUCAAUACCAAUACAUAUUUCAGAUAAUCACAUAUAAUCAUAUUUCGAUUCAAUUCAAACCACUUUUCAAUCAAUACACAAUUCACAUAUUCACACAUAUUCAUAAAUUAAUUCACUUUUAUUUAAUUCAUAUUUUUAAUUCAUUUUCCAAUCAAAUUCAAAUCACUAAUUACUUUUCAAUCAAUAUACAUUUCAAAUACUCACAUAUUUUCUUCAUUCAAUUCAAUUUGAUUCAAUUAAAAUCACUUUUAGUUUCCAAUCAAUAUAAUUUCAAAUAUUCACAUAAUUCGUAAUUCAAUUACUUAAAUCACUUUUAAUUUCCAAUUUGUUCACAUUCAAUUUCAAUAGCCAUAAACAUUUUUGAAUCAAUUUCAUUCAAAUCAAUAUCAUCAUUUCAAUUGCUUACCUAAUUUUAUUUGCCAUGCAUUUUAAUUCAAAUAUAACAAUUAAUAAUAAAUAGAUUUGAAUUAUAGUAGUACAAACCCGGAUUUGUUCGAUUACUCCUCGAUAACGUUUCCUUUCUUUUCGGUGCCGAUGCCUCGAUUUCUUUGGUAACUACAAAAAUAAUAAUAAUAAUUUACACUUAUUAAUAACAGCACUAAUUUAUAAUAAUGAUUGAAUUUCUAUUCAAUUUAUAUCCUAAUUCCAAUUUAAUCCUAAUUAACUCAUUUACUUUUAUAAUUCAAUUCAUACUUCAUUUCGAUUCAAUUUCCUUCCAUAUUUCACUUAACUAUCUAAUGUUCAUAAUAAAAUUAUAAUUUAAAAUUUCUUUCAAUUUAGUCCUUUCAACACAAAACUUAUAGCUUCUUUUACAAUUCAAUCCCUUACCAAAUAUAACUUGAAAUUCAUUCAAUUAAAUCCCUAAUUCAUCUUUUUGUUCAACAUGAACUAUACUUAUAAACCUAUGAACUUUCAAAGUAUCAACUUAAUUUCAUCAAAACCUUGUUCUAAAGCUUGUAAAACAUCAAAAUUAAGUAAAAAUGACUUAAUUGACUUACCUAUUAAAGUUUUAACCUUCAAACCCUAGUUUUUCCCCAUUUUCUUUUCUUUCCCUUUUCUUUCUUCUUGUUUUCGAAUGGCUUCUGCUAUUCUUUCUUUUGCUUUCUUUCUUUAUUUCAUUUCAUUUAUAUAUAUAUAUAUAAUAUUAGUUAAUAAUGAUAAUAAUGAUAAUAAUAAUUAUAAUAAAUAUCUUUUAAUAACACAUAUUUACAUUACAUUUGUCACCACUUAAUUUGUUUAUCGUACACAAAAAUCUUAUAAUAUAAUUAUUUAAUUAAUAACUAUCUUUUACUUAAUUUUCAAGUAAAUAAAUAAAUAUAAUACAAAUGUAUAUAUUUACAUUAUUUCAAUUGUCACUAUCCAAUUUUUUUAUUAGUUAUCUAAUAAAUAUCUUUUACUUAGUAAUAAUAAAUAAUAAAUAUCUAUUUACUAAUUAAAUAUAAGUAUUACAAAUGUACAUAUAUUUUUUUUACAAGUGUACAAUAUCAUCACCACCCAUUUGGCAAAAUUUUGAUUUAUUCAUAUAAUAUAAUAUAAUAUUUUUAAUUUAUAACUAAUAUAAAUUGCCAUAUAAUAAAAUAAUUAUAUACAUAAUAAUUUAAUAAUAAUUAAACAAUAAAAAUUUUAGAUUUUUAUCAACAUUUGCCGCCUCAUUUAUGGUGAAUGGUAUAUUUUCCAUUUUGGUCCCCCUUUCUUUUUAUUAAUCUAAUUUAGCCCUUAAUAUUUAUAAUUUUACCAAUUUGAUUUUUAUUCUUUUUAGUUAAAUUUAAUUCUCUACCUAGUGUCAAAUUUGACUAUUGAUCUUUUAGAAAAUUGUCGAAUUAAUGUUUUGUUCUUUGCUUUCAAUUUGGUUCUGUUCUUAAGCAAAUUUCUGCUUUGUUUCUUCUCCAAGUCACGAGUCUUGUUGUUCAAGUCAUAGCUGAACUAGCUUGCUUGUUGUUCAUAACACCAACAACCUGUUCUCGGCUGGGUUGAUAACAGUAUCAUCGAUGAACCUCCGGAUUGCAUUCAUGAACAUUUUGCCAUCACCCAAGCUUGUAAGCAAUUCAAGAACACGAAAAGGUAAUUGAUUUUCCAACAAGAACAGAUCCGAGUACAAAAAUGUCAGUAAAUCAUUUUUAAUUAACAAAUUACCAUCAUCAUCAUCAUUAUCGUAACGCAUGUCAACUGCUUGUAAAUUUGCGCAGCCGUCAACGAUGAACAUCCAAGCCAGUUCCUCGUUAUCGUCUCUAUACUUCUCUAAUUCCUGUGGAUCAUAGCAUUCCUUCAAGCUAUCCAUCUCUUUCUUAAUUUUUCUGUACAAGGAUUUCUUAUCGACGCCAAUUUUUUUGACGAAAUGUGCUGCUAAUUUGAGGUUGAGCCCCUUGGAUUCACGGAGGGUGAGAUCAUCGUGGUGGAGUGGGCCGAUUGAGAUCACUUUCAGCUUGAAAUACUUCUUGAAAUCUUCGUUACGGAGAAGGGUUGAUGGGACUUUUUGUAUUAAUGGUUUGUAUCUAAGGGUGGGUUGGCCACCAAAAGCUUUGUCUAAUGACUGGAGCUUCGCUACUUCGCCAUCGCUGAGAGGGACGUCGGUGAACCACAUAUCAAUUCCCACGUAAUCGUUGUUGGUGUUGUUGUCGAUGAUUGUUUGAUUAGUGGAAACUGCUCCGGCGGCGCUGCCUCCUUCCUCCAUGGACGACAUUUUCAGGCUGACCGGCUCGAAGUAAUUAACAAGGUGAUUUUGAAAACUUGUUUUGGCUGAUUGAGUGAUGUUGGAAAAAAGGUGGCAAAAUGGCUACGAUGAUAACAAAUCUUCUAUAGCUUACAUAAAGAGGCGAAUAUAGGGGAAUGUAAAAUUGUUAUUUAGGCCCUUAAUAUUUUUUAAAAUUUUAAAUUAGUAAAAGUGAAAUUACAUUUUGGCCUUAUAAAAUUAUAAAAAUUCAAUUUAAUCUUUUAAAAAUUAUAAAGAUAUAGACUACAAAAAAUUAAAAUCUCAUUCGAUCCACCCUAAAAAAUUAUUCGGGCUUCGCCACUGCUUACAUAAUAAACAUAUGGAAAAUACUUUUGGUGUAAUUCAAAUUUACCCCUUAUAGUCAAUUUAAUUUUCAUUUUUUUAAUUUAAUUUUCUAUCUUUUGGAAGAGUUGAAUUUAACUAUCAAUUUAAAUUAAUAUUUUUUAACGAAAAUAGUGACUAAAAUAUUAAAAUAUUAAACAUGACAACUCAAACGGCAAUCCACAUCUAUAUGUUUUUUUUAUUUAUUUCUUAUUUUUAAAUUAUUUAUUGAUGUGACAUAUAAUAAAAGUAUUGUUAUAUUAGCAUGAAGUACACAUGGAAGGCCACACGAGUUGUGACACCAAUAUCGUUAAAAAUUAAUAUUUUAGUUAGCAUAUCUGUUAAAGAAAAGCAAAUGAACUCUUUUUUCAAAGGUUAAUGGCUAAAUUUAGCUCAAAUGAAAAAAAAAAAAGGCCAAUUUGAUAAAAAAGGUAAAUGUCAAGAGUUAAGUUUAACAUUUAUACAAGUACAAAUAUAUGUCUGGAUUAAUCUAGAAAGAACAAGACAAACUCUACAGGUGAUAUACAAAUGUGAUGAGAGUGGAACCUGCACAUCACAAUUGAGAAUAAUAUUAUAGAACCUAAAUACUCAAAAACCUAAAACCUUCCCCUUAACCAAGAAGCUAAGACGCCAUGGAUAAUUUUAUAUCUACAACACUUAUGAAUUUCAUAUGCUUAAUAAUAGUUUACAAAAAGACAAGUAAAGAACACUUACUUCGGUUGAUGUAUGGUAUAAUAAGUCUGCAAAGCACUAAGAGUAAGUGCAGCAAUGGCACCCAAAAAUGCUAAAAACGUCCAAGGACUCCUAAAAUAAGUAUGAUAACCUUGAGCUGCAUGAUUAAUCCACAUAGUCUUACAAUGAUUAUGUAUUUUCUCUUUAACCCCACUGUAAAUUGUCGGACUAGGAACCAAAUCAGUGUUCAUCUUAUUGAAAAGCUUAGCCAUUUCUUCAUCACUGCCCAAUCCAUUGUAUAGUAUGCCGGAGUCUCUAAGGUCUUUAACAUCUUCGGCUUCAUCGAUCAAUAAAUCAAGGAAACACAUAUAUGAAGUGACGGUGAAAUCGUUGUCGAAAUCCGGACACAUUUCGUAAGCUAUUAAGUUCAUGGUUGAAUCAUCGACGGAGAUCGGCGGUAACCGUAAUUUUCCGAAGAAGAAGAUAUGGUUGAAACUGAUGUCGGUUAAAUUACUUGUUUCGCUGGCUUCUAACCAUAUCCCGGCCUUUUUAAGCUCUUUUACGUUACCAAUGGUGCGUGAAUGGUACCGUUUUGUUCUUUUUCUUCUUGCUGCUGCUUUGCCAAAUCCGUGUCGAGUGAAUUCCCAAAGAAAACACCAGCACCGUAUUCGUACUUUUCUGAGAAGGAGUCUUUCUCGUAGUAGAUGCAAUAAGUGAAUUCGCUCUCCUUCUUUUUGCUGCUUCCACCACCAUUCCCUACACCAAAAUCUGUGUUAGUCGGAAGCCAAGCUACAAUUUCUCUUUUCUCUUUUCUUUUUUUCUUUUUUGUUGUUAAUACAAAAAUAUUAAAAAUCAAUCUAUACUUGUUAAUCAAGUUGGUUGAAUAAAAAAUUAAAUAAAAUUGAAGUUAUACCAAUUGAAUUAAAGAAUGGAAUAAAUUUCUUUUUAUAUUUUUAAUAUUUUUAAAAAUUUAUAUAAUUAAACUGAAUUAACUAAUCAAAUGGAAAAGAGAGUCUAAUAGAUUCCAUCACCUAUGUAGUUAUAAAAACCUUUUAACAUUUAUAAACUCCACAAAAAUGAUUCUUUAUUUAAUUCCCUAAAUUACCUGUCCUCGCCUGGGUUGAUAACAGUUUCGUCGAUGAACCUUUGGAUUGCAUUCAUGAACUUUUUGCCAUCCCCCGAGCUUGUAAGCAAUUCAAGAACACGAAAAGGUAAUUGGUUUUCCAACAAGAACAGAUCCGAGUACACAAAUGUCAGCAAAUCGUCUUUAAUAAACAAUUUACCAUCAUCAUCAUCAUCAUCAUCAUCACCGUAACGCCUGUAAACUGCUUGUAAAAUUGCGCAGCCGUCAACGAAGAAAAUCCAAGCCAGUUUCUCGUUAUCGUUGCUAUAGUUCUCUAAUCCCUUUGGAUCAUAGCAUUUCUUUAACUCAUCGAUCUCUGUCUUCAUGUUGUUGUACAAGGUAUCCUUAUCGACGCCAAUUUUUUUGACGAAAAGUGCUGCUAAUUUGAGCUUGAGCUUCUCGGAUUUAUGGAAGGUGGGAUCAUCGUGGUGGAGUGGGCCGAUUGAGAUCACUUUCGGCUUGAAAUACUUACUGAAAUCUUCGUGACGACCAAGGGUUGAUGGGACUCUUUGUAUCAAUGGUUUGGCACGGAGGUCGAUUUCGUCGCCGUCGAAAGCUUCGUCUAAUGACCGGAGAUUCACUACUUCGCCAACGCUGAGAGGGACGUCCAUAUCAAUGCUCACGGAAUCGUUGUUGUCGGUGAUUGUUUGAUCAGUGGGAGCUGCUCCGACGGCGCCGCCUCCUUCCUCCGUGGAGGACAUUUUCAGGCUGAGCGGUUGGAAGUAAUAAACAAGGUGAUUUUGUAAACUGUUUUUGGCAGAGUGAGUGAUGUUGGAGAAAAGGUAGCAAAGUGGAUAAGAUGAUGACAAAUAUUUUGUAGCUUACAUGAUAAACAUAUAUGGGAAAUACUUAAGGCGUUAGUGUUUAUAUUUUUACUAAUAUAAACAAUGAUAAAAAAGAAAAGUUAAAUAGUGACAAAUACUAAAAUUGAGAAUAAUAUUAUGGAACCUAAAUACUCAACACUACUCAAAACCUUCGCCUUUAACCAAGAAACUAAGACCCUAUCUGAGGGAGAAUUUUAUAUCUACAACACUUCCUAAAUUUCAUUAGCUUAAUAAUAGCUAUUCAAAUAUAUUUUUUCAUUUUAUUACUGACUUUAAUAUUUAAAUUAUCAUUAUAUUGCAUGAUUUAUUCCAAAUAUUUACAUAUAGUAAUUGCAUUUGUAAUUCUACCUAACUAUGAAAAAUCUCAAAUUUGCAACAUGUUAUUCACAUGCCAACCAACCAAUAUAUUAUUCCUACCAACCAAUUUAUCAUUCACAUUCCAACUUUCUAAAUCCAUCAAAUAUUUCAUAUUCAUGUACUAACAAAGAUCAUGCCAAGAACCCACAUGCAAAGUCAUUGUAUAGUACCACAUUUAACUCAAUCGGACUUUUACACAACUAAAGAUUACUCCAAACGUUUAUAUGCAUGUCACAAUCCUUCACUCAAAAUGAUAAAAAAAACUAUUAAAUUGACGAUAAAAUAGUUUAAGCUUCGACCGAUUCAACCGACGUGUUCUAGCAUAUAAUAUGUUUAGUAAGCUCAUAUGGAAACUAAAACUUACCUAGAUCAAUUGAACAUAAAAAAUUACUCAAUAAGCUAUCGAAUUAAUUUUUCCCUGACACUUAUAUACAUAUAGUACAUCUAAUAAAAUUUCUGUUAAAGAAAAGCAAUUUGACUCUUUUUCUAAAAAGUUAAUAACUAAAUUUAGCUCAAAUAAAAAAAAAGAAUAAAAGUCAAUUUGAUAAAAAAUAUAAAUAUUAAAAAUUAAAUUUAUCAUUAUAUCUUUUUUAAGUAAUUAUUUGUGGUGAGCCAUCAUGUCUGACGAUGAUUUUUAAAUACUGUAUUAAUUAUAUAUAGCACAUCAUAUUUCACUAUAAUUUCUAUAGACUUUUUAAACAUGGGGUUAAUUGUUUAUGGCCCAUUGCCCAUGUUGCUUUUAUUAAAUUUUGGGUGAACUUCUCAUUUUGGUCAAAAAAAAAUUGUAUUCUCAGUAUAAAACAAAAAACUAAUCUUUAAUGUUUAUGGCCAAACCCCACCUCUCCUAUCCUAUAAUAAUGGUUCUUGGCUUCUUCUAUCCUACACCUCAAUUAUUUGGAUUAGAUUGAAAAACAAUUGACACUUGAUUUGAUUGUGAAAUAAAGUUAAAUUUUAAAUUUAUAAUAUUUAAUUUGAGUGUGAAUGAAUUUUUGACUUAAUUGAAAAUUUAAAAUUUUAAGUUCGAGUCGUAUUUAAUUAUGUGUGUAUAUCGUGUAUAAAUUUUGUUCAAAUUUAUUUUGAUUUAAUUUUCAUACUAUAUAUUCUUAAUUAAAUUCGGAAUAUAUUUUGAUUAUCAAUUUAACCAUACAUUGUAACGAUGGAUUAAAAUUAUAGUUAAUUAUAUAUUGAAACUAAAUAAUUAGUUUAAGGAAUUAAAAGAUAUUAUUAUAUUUUAUAAAAUUUGAAUAGAUUCAUAAUUAAUUCGAGAUUAAAAAAUGGGAGAAGAAAAGCUAAAACCAAACCUUUUUUACGGUUGGAACUAAACCCCAUGCGGUGUGGAAAAUUGCAAGUUUCCAGAAUAUACCUACACUUACUAAUUAUAAUAAAUAUCUUUUACUUAGUAAUAAUAAAUAAUAAAUAUAUAUUUACUAAUUAAAUAUAAAUAUUACAAAUGUACAUAUAUUUUGUUUACAAUUGUACAAUAUCAUCACCAUCCAUUUGGCAAAUUUGAUUUGUUCAUAUAAUGUUAAUUUAUAACUAAUAUAAAUUACCGUAUAAUAAAAUAAUUAUGUACAUUAUAAUUUAAUAAUAAUUAAACAAUAAAAAUCUUAGAUUUUUUAUCAACAUUUGCCGCCUCAUUUAUGGUGAAUGGUAUAUCUCCCAUUUUGGUCCCCCUUUCUUUUUAUUAAUUCUUUUUCCUAAUUUCUCCUAAUUAAGCUAAAUUCACUUAAUUAAAUCCUAAUUAAACACACAACUAGCCUCACAAAUAUUCUUAAUAAAACAUUUACAAACUCGGUUUACUAAGACAGAAGCCCUAUAACUCACUUUUUCGGUGCCCGUGAAUUUUGGGCCAUUACACAUUCUUCCGUGGAUAACAUUUUUAGGCUGAGCGGUUCGAAGUAAUUACCAAGGUGAUUUUGUAAACUGUUUUUGGCUAAGUGAGUGAUGUUGGUGAAAAGGUGGCAAAAUGGCUACAAUGUUUCUAUAGCUUAUAUAUAAUGAACAUACGGAAAAUAUUUUUGUGUAAUAUCAAAUUUAGCCCUUAAUAUUUAUAAUUUUACCAAUUUGAUUCUUAUUCUUUUUAGUUAAAUUUAAUUCUCUACCUUUUGAAAGUGUCAAAUUUUCUUGGCUGGAAGCUCACUGCAUGGAAGCCAAAAUCAAAACAAACUUUUGAUGGUUUAAUUGUUUUUGAGCCCUUCAAUUUCAGGUGCUAUGAGAAAUGGAUUACAACCUCAUCUUGUCGUUAUCCCAAAAUCAAAACAAGCAACUCUUGGUUGAAAGUUGAAACCAAGGGCCAAGUCAAAAUUGUUUUAGGAUGAGUCCAAAAUGAAUAAUGAAUUUGAAGGUUCAAAAUAAAAUUUUAUUAAUAUAUAAAUUUAUAAUUUCAUAAAUUUUAAAAGGAUUAAAUGAUAAAUUUACUAAUUUAAGAAGACAAUAGGGAUGGUCAAAUAUUCUAAUUGAACCUAUCUGCGAUCGGAUCGGGAUGGAUUUUUUUAAUUAAAAAAAUUAAAUAGAUUGAAUCGAAAUUCUAGGAGUUACAAAAUUCUCAUAAAUAACAAGAGUUUACAAAAAGUACACUUACUUUGGUUGAUGUAUGGUAUAAUAAGCCUGCAAAGCACCGAUAAAAAGUGCACCAAUGGCACCCACAAAUGCGAAAAACGUCCAACGAGUCCUAAAAAAAGUACGGUAAACUUGAGCUGGAUAUGUAAUCCACAUAUUGUUAUGAUGAUCAUGUAUUUGCAGUUUAACAUGUCUGUAAAUCAUCAGACUAGGAACCAAAUCCAUGUUCAUCUUCUUGAUAAGCUUAGCCACUUCUUUAUCACUCCCAAAUCCAUGGUAUAGUAUGCCUGCGUCUCUCAGUUCCUUAACAUCUUCGGCUUCAUCGAUCAAUGAAUCAAGGAAACCCAUAUAUGAAGUGACGGUGAAAUUGUUGUAGAAAUCCGGACAAUUUCGUAAGCUAUUAAGUUCAUGGUUGAAUCAUCGACGGUGAGAGGCGGUAACCGUAAUUUUCCGACGAAGAAGUAAUGGUUGAAACUGAUGUCGGUUAAACAACUUGUUUCGCUUGCUUCUAACCAUAUCCCGGCGUUUUUAAGCUCUUUUACGUUACGAAACGGGUGUGAAUGGUGAGGUUUUAUUCUUGUAUGGUUUCUGCGAUUUGUGAAGGAUAUGCAAAACCUAGAAGGCCAUGGUUUUUCUUUUUUGAAAAGGAGUCUUACUCGUAGUAGAUGCAAUAAGUGAAUUGGCUCUUUAUUUUUUUCUUGCAGCUGCUGCCACCAUUCACUAGAGCAAAAUCUGUGUUAGUCGGGAGCAAGCUAAAAUUAAGGUUUUCAAUGGUUGAAUCAAAUCAUUAUUAUUUAAUAAAAAAUUAUUUAAAUUAUUAAAUUACAUUUUAAUCCUUUUAAAAAUUAUUAAAUUAUAAAUUUGUAUACAAUAAAAUUAUAUUUUGACUCCUCAAAAUGAAUAAAAAAUUGUUUAAACACUUUUAAAAAAUGAUGACAUCAUAAAUUAAUGCAAAAAAAAAAUCUAAGAAUUAAACCAAACUUGUCUAUCGGCCUAAUUAAACAGAGAAUCAAGCAAGGUACUAAUCCAGAAUAAUAAAUUAAAUCCAUUGAAUCUAAUCAUCAAAUCGAUUUUUUUUAUAUUUUUAAUAUAUCUUUAAUAUUUUUAAAAUUUUAUAUAAUUGAAUCGAAUAAACUAAUCAACCAAAAAUGAGACUCUAAUGGAUUGUAUCACCUAUAUAUGUAGUUGUAAAAAUCCUUUUAACAUUUAUAAACUCCACAAAUUGAUUCAUUUAUAAAUUCCUUAAAUUACCUGUCCUGCUGAUGUGAUUGUGGGUCUUUAACAGUGCCGUUGAUGAACCUUAUGAUUGCCUCCAUGAAUUUUGUGCCAUCCUUCGAUCUUGUAAGCAAUUCAAGAACACGAAAAGGUAAUUGGUUUUCCAACAAGAACAGAUCCGAGUACACAAAUGUUAGCAAUUCGUUUUUAAUAGAAAAUUCGUUCGACGUACGACAACGAUCUUGGCCGUAAAGCAUAUAAACUGCUUGUAAAAUUGCGCAGCCGUCAACGAAGAACAUCCAAGCCAGUUUCUCGUUAUCGUUGCUAUAGUUCUCUAAUCCCUUUGGAUCAUAGCAUUUCUUUAAGCCAUCGAUCUCUGUCUUCAUGUUGUUGUACAAGGUAUCCUUAUCGACGCCAAUUUUUUUAACGAAAAGUGCUGCUAAUUUGAGCUUGAGCUUCUCGGAUUUAUGGAGGGUGGCAUCAUCGUGGUAGAAUGGGCCGAUUGAGAUCACUUUCGGCUUGAAAUACUUACUGAAAUCUUCGUGACGACCAAGGGUUGAUGGGACUCUUUGUAUCAAUGGUUUGGCACCGAGGUCGAUUUCGUCGCCGUCGAAAGCUUCGUCUAAUGACCGGAGAUUCACUACUUCGCCAACGCUGAGAGGGACGUCCAUAUCAAUGCUCACGGAAUCGUUGUUGUCGGUGAUUGUUUGAUCAGUGGAAACUGCUCCGACGGCGCCGCCUC